UGUCGCAGACACUAAAGCAGUCGGUCAUGUUUUUCUGUGUUCUGAUCAACGCUGAAUAAACUUGUAAAUAAUGCUCUCCUGACUGCAACUUUUGGCUGUGCAUUAUCUGCUGAUAGAGCGUGCAUGAGCUCUAGAAUGUGGCCAGAUAUUUUCUAGAAACUCAUGUCGCUGCGUGCCUACGGGAGGCCGAUGGAUCAUCCGGCAGACGGCUUGGGGGCCGUGAUGGACUUUAUCUCCCUGGCAGUACCCCAACAACAGGUUUCGGGCCCAGAUUCACAGCACUUACAGGAGAGUAAGACUGCGACAGACUGCGUUGAGAGGUAUGUGGAAGAAAAGCGAAAGUGAGGCUUUUCUGUUUGCCGAGGCAAGGGCCUUUGAACUCCGGCAGAUUAAUGGAUCUGGGAGCCGCGCCAAAGGCCUCAAGAUUUAUGGGCUGCCGAGAUAAGACAUCUUUGAAGUGAAUUAGACUCACGGCUCGAAUAGAAACCUGGAAUGGAGUUUUUCCAAGCUUCUGAGGCUGCUGAGUGCCCAAAGUUAAAUCGGCACAACUAUCAGACCUGGGCUGUGUGGUGUGAGAGCUUGCUGCGUCAGUUUGGAGUGUGGCAUACUGUGUCUGAAGCCCCUCCAGUUCCUCUGACAGAUAGAUGGAGGGCCGCUAAUUCGAAGGCCGUUGACAUAAUAGUCUUGUCCGUCUCUCUGGAGGAAAUUAAAACGUUAGCUGGCAAUGUGACUGCACGUAAUAUGUGGCAUGCUUUGAAGAUAGCCCAUCUGCCACUCAUCCCAGCCCAGAGUUUGACUGCAUCGGAGGUCCUGGCUGUUUCCCAGAAUGCGAGUGAAUGCAGGGAUGCCGAGGGCACCGGUUGCAAGCUGCAGGGGAGCUGACUGUCACGUCAUCCCAGGCAGCAUUCCAGCCUCCAGGGGGAGCCAAGGAGUCGGCAGCUGAGAGCUCUGUUUCUCAUGGGAACCAAGGUCAUCGCCUUUGCAGAGGCCGGAAAGGCAAAGGUAAACAGAGGCAGACGCCUGCAGAUGGCCAGAAGCAGAGGGAGGGUGAAGAGCCCAUGCCGGUGGAAAACAAAGUUUUGUUUGCUGGCACAGCCUCACUAAAGGCUAAAGGCAAGUCUGAUGGCCAGGAGCAGGGGGGCAAGCUGCAAAAGCCCACGCCGGUGGAAAACAAGGUUUUGCUUGCUGCAAAGGCUGCUCCAAAAGCCAAGGCCAGGUUUGUUGUUGAUUCAGGCUGUACCCGCCAUGUCUCAAAGGACCGCCACCUAUUUAUCUCCUUCAAACCUCAAGAAGGUGAGAUCCACCUGGCUGAUGGGAAGACGUUGCGAAUUGCAGGAGAAGGGACUGUGAAACUGGCAAGUCUGCGCACUACCAUCAAAGAUGUACUGUAUGUUCCAGGCGCUGCAGACAAUUUGCUCAGUGUCCCACAGUUGACUGGGCGUGGUUUUGAGAUUUCCUUCAAGAGGAGCGUCUGUGUCAUCAGAAAAGGCAAAGAGGACAUUUUGCAUGCAAAGUUUAUGGAUGGCUUGUUCUGUAUAACUUAUGAUGACAUUGGUGCUGUUGUGUCUAAUGCUGAUUCUUGUUGUGUUGCACAAACUAACAAAGUUCUUCAUGCAGGAUGCAUUCAUGAUGCACACAGAAGAUUUUGUCACAUGUCUUGGCAGGCGCUGGCCAAGAUGCCAGAGAUGGUUGAGGGUUUGAACAUCAAACCCUGUAAGUUUCACAUGAAAUGUGUAUCUUGUGCAGAGAACAAGGUGAAGGUUGCUCCAAAAGGCAAGGAGUCUAGCAGGCAGGCUUCCAAACCCUACCAGCUAGUGCACGCAGACCUGGUUGGUCCACUUGCACCCUCUUUGGGUGGAGCAAGGUACUUCAUGGUUCUAAUUGAUUCUUUUUCCAGGUACAUUCAUGUGUUUAUGCUCGAGCAGAAAUCGCAAGCGUUUCCUAAGUUCAAGGCAUUCUGUGCUUGGUUGGAGAAUGUUCACGGUAAACGUAUUGGCUGUCUGUUUACUGAUCGAGGCGGGGGUUCACUUCUCAGCAGUUUGAAGCUUUCCUGACUGAGAAGGGAAUCCAGCAUGACUUGUCAACGCCUAGAUCGCCAUGGAUGAAUGGGCUUGCAGAGCGAGCAAAUCAAACGUUGCUGCAAGGAAUGAAAACAUUGUUGCAUGAUGCCAAUCUCCCUGAUAAGUAUUGGGGGGAGGCUCUGUCAAAUUUUGUUUACACCUUUAAUCGCAGGUUGUCAUCACCUAUUGGUUGUACCCCCUAUGAGAAGAUGUUUGGUAAGAAACCCAACAUCAAGCACAUGAGAAUCUUUGGUUCUGACAUGUGGGUACACACCCCACAGAGCAACAAGCUUGGGAAGCGUGGGGCACAUGGUUUGUUCAUGGGGUACGAAAAAGGUGCAUACAGGGUAUGGAUGACCAACUCUAAGUCCAUUAAGUUCACAAAGAGUGUUGAGUACAAUCCUAAGUGGGGGGAAAAUGUGGGAAUUUUCCAGAGUUACCCAGAGGAGGAUGAAGGUGAUGUCAAAGAAGCAGCUAAAGCUGAGGAAGCUGCUGAGGAUGAUGAUGAUGAUGAUCAGAGUUCAGAUUCCAGUUCAGUGGGCGGCGCUGCUGCUGGUGUCAGUGACAGUGAUGACACAGCAGACUACAAGAGCGCAAAGGCCUCAGUCAGACCGUCUGAUGCGUCUGACAAUGAACUGGAAGAACCACUGUUCACCAUUGGUCACUUUUCUCCUAAGAAGGAGGAGAUGAGUCCAGAAGACUUGCGUCUAGUACGCAGAUCUGAGAGAGCAACCAAGGGCAGACCUCCAAAGAGAUUUGCUGAUGAGUUUGCUAAGACAGCAACUGCUGUUCUUAGUAGCUCAGAGAAGGUAUGGGAACCUUCAAGCUUCAAAGAGGUUCAGGAGUUAACCUCUAAAGAUGCUGAGCCUUGGCUUAAUGCCAUGAAGGCUGAAGUUGAUUCCUUGAAUAGGAACCAAACUUGGGAACUGGUACCGGUAGUCCCAGGGAUGAGACUGGUUGGCAGCAAAUGGGUCUUCAAGGCCAAGACAGACCAGAAUGGCAAGGUAGUCAGACACAAAGCCAGAUUGGUUGCCAGAGGUUUUUCACAGGUACCAGGACAGGAUUACCACGAGACCUACUCACCCACCGUCAAAUAUGAGAGCAUUCGGCUGAUGCUCAAGAUAGCUGCAGAGGAGAAACUGCAUGUUUCCCAUCAUGACAUUAAUACAGCUUUUUUGUACGGGGCUUUGGAGGAGGAGCUGUUUAUGCUUCCACCUGAUGGGAUGCAGAUACAGAAGGGAAUGGUCUGUAAACUGCGGAAAUCCUUAUAUGGUCUCAAGCAGAGUGCCAGGUGUUGGAACACAAAACUCACUGAGACGUUGCUUUCUCUAGGUUUUCACCAGGGCAAAGCUGAUCCAUGUGUGUUUGUCAAGGAGGAGGGCAAAACAAACUGUAUUGUUUAUGUUUUGUUGAUGAUCUUCUGAUGUUUUGGAAGAAUCAGGCUUUCUACCAAAGCACCCUAGCUCAGCUGAAGGAGCACUUUGACAUGAAGGAUCUUGGUGAGGUAUCCAACUAUCUUUCUCUGCAGGUGGAGAGGGACCAAGCAGGUAAUUUUCUGGUACACCAAACACAGAAAAUUGCUGAUGUAUUAACCAGGUUGAAUUUGGUUGAUGCAAACCCAGCAGACACACCGAUGGUGACAGGUUACCAGGUAGACAGUACUGCUGAAGCGUUUUCUGACACAACGCUGUACAGAUGCAUUCUAGGCAAGUUGAAUUUCAUUGCUAGAUGCUCAAGACCUGACAUAGCUGUAAGCACUAACCUGCUUAGCAGACAUGCCAACAAUCCUACUGUUCAGGAUUGGAAAGCUCUGAAGCGCAUAGCCCGCUAUUUGAAAGGGACUUUGCACUACAGGCUGAGGUUCACCAGUCAGAAGACUGGAGGUCUUGAAAUCUUUGCAGAUGCAAGUUUUGGAAGUGACACCACGGAUGGUACAAGCACUUCUGGAGUAUGCUACAUGUACAACCACUGUCUGUUUGACUGGCUGUGCAAGAAGCAGACGACAGUGAGCCUAAGUUCCUGUGAAGCAGAACUCAAUGCUCUGUCAUUUUCACUCAUGGAUUGUGAAUGGUUGAUGCAACUGUUUAAGGACAUCAGAGUUUCUGUGAAAUGUCCUGUACAAGUGUAUCAAGACAAUAGAUCGUGUUUGGCUUUGCUGAACUCGGAGAGUUGCAAGCAAAGGACCAAGUACUUGCAGAUUAAGCUACAUCGUGCAAGAGAGUGUAUUCAGAAAGGACUCAUUCAGGUGUCCUACAUGCCAGGAAAUGAAAUUCCUGCUGAUCUGUUGUCUAAGGUUGUUAACAGAGAACAACUUAAGGUUUACGUACAAAGGUUGCAAUUGGGUUGAACCACAGGUACUACAGGUUACACGGAAAGGGGGAGGAUGUUAGGAUAUUUCCGUUCCACCUUAAAAGGGAGCAGGCUUUGUGAGACAGAGUCUGCGUAUUUCCUGUUCACAGGAUGUUUAUGUUUUCUGUUGCUUUCGUUUUCUCUCUGUUGUCGCAGACACUAAAGCAGUCGGUCAUGUUUUUCUGUGUUCUGAUCAACGCUGAAUAAACUUGUAAAUAAUGCUCUCCUGACUGCAACUUUUGGCUGUGCAUUAUCUGCUGAUAGAGCGUGCAUGAGCUCUAGAAUGUGGCCAGAUAUUUUCUAGAAACUCAUGUCGCUGCGUGCCUACGGGAGGCCGAUGGAUCAUCCGGCAGACGGCUUGGGGGCCGUGAUGGACUUUAUCUCCCUGGCAGUACCCCAACACUCUCGCCAUGCAGACUCGCUGGGAGGCAUGUUCAUCACUGGCCCUCACUGGUUUUCAAUCUGAGAACAUUCAAAACAACAUUUACAAGCUGCUUCAGACAUUGCUUAUGGUCACUUGCUUCAUCACAGUGAGGAGGAGAAACCCUUGGACUUCCAGUUGUUGGUCUGGACUCCAGUAGCAAUUAUCCCCGACUGUUUGUCAUGUUGGCUGAGGCUGAUGGGAACCACAUCUGGAGGGCCACAGUUUCCCCAUUACUGAAUUAUAGGAAUGGUCCACUCCAUAUGAAAAAUAUGUGCCAGAGUUUCACAGGUCUCCACUCUGAUGACAUUCACAGUUGCACACUACAGUUAGGAUCUUUGGGGACCACAGGGAUUUCUGUGGCUAUGAAUCUCCAAACACACUUUGCAUUGGUCCAGUGAGGCCCUAUUAACUGAAGUCAGUUGCACUGAGCUUGAGACCUGCUCCUGAGUGAUGAUGGACUUUCAGUGUGAGCAGACUGCUACCACCAGGAAAGAAAAUGGAUAAAAGGCAACAGCUAAACAAUUUCUCAGCAAGCUGCUCUACAGCAGGCAUAUGGAGGAAGGAUGAAGAAAAGUGUCUGUAUUCGCUCUGUGGCAGCACAAAGAUAUAGAUUUCUAGACCUUGGGCUGAUCGUAUUUCCACAUCAAAAACACUGUAAUAGCUUAAAAGUUGCAGACUUGCUUCCUGAAGGGGAAUCAGUAAAAACAAAACAAAAAAAUUAAAAAAUCCAACAGUUGUUUAAAAAAUGCUAUAAAUUCAUAUAUUAAAAAUAUUUCUUAACUUCCCUCCAUUAAAAAAUAUCCAGGGUGGUGCAGAAAAGUGUAAAUAAAACUAAUUCACAUAAAUUCCAUUUAAAAUCAAUAAAUUAACAUAAAAAUGCAAGACAAAAGGCAUAUACCCGCCCCCCCAAAAAACACACAUGAAGGAAUGGGUUUCCCAAACCCAAAACUGACUGUGCAGGCAGUUUGAAACUGCACCAAAAUCCUUACUUUUCCUUAGCUAAAAUCCAUUAACUUGAGCACUGAGUAAAUGUAUAAACAAAAACCCGAGUGUGCUCAAAGCUCUCUCCCUUAUCAGUCCAUGACAGCAAUGAGUGACCUUGCCAAGUUCCAGUAAGAGCAGGGAUGCUGUGUCUGUGCCUUAUCUUAUAUCCUGACCACAAAGACCACAGACCCAGUCUGGGAACAACGCCAGAGUAUGUUCUCGGAGAUGACAACCUCUUCCUCCAAGACAAGAGUAGGAAGAGGAAGAUCCUUUUAUGGUCAGAAGUACAGGAAGGAAUACCCUUUUAUGGUUAAGAAUACCAGAGCAAGAACAUAUGUGAUGUCAACCUGUGUACAUAGGCUGACGUGGUUGGAUUCCUGGGGAAGGAGGGAGAGGGUGCCUGGAGGAUAUAUAUACUGCAUGUAAUCUCUGACUUCUUUGGACUUGCUGUGAACUCACCACGCAAGUGCCUUCUGCUAUCCGCAGAGCAGAAUAAACUCUUUCUUUGAGCCAACCUCAGUGUCAUUUGACUUCCUUCCUCCUGUCCCGGAGCAACACAGACCCAAUCGGUGAACUCCAAUAAGGCUACACCCACACACUAGAGAGUAGAAUAAAGCAAAACUGCAAAACCCUAAAAUGCACCUGGCACUAACAAGUGUCAGAUAUGUCUCAUCGGGGAGCAUAUUCCAAAGUCAGGGUGCCUUCGCAAAAAGGACCUUCUGUUUUGCAGAAGCACAAUCUACCUCUGCUAAAGAGUAGAGAUAGUGGAUAUGUCAGUUUUGGUUUUUCUGUGUCUCAUCUUUGCAUUCUUCAGUUCUCCACAUUUCUACAUCAGUUUGUAUGUUCAUUUGUUUUUAAAUCCUCAUAAAAAUUCAGUAGCAAAUUUAGGGUGAAUUCCUCAUCAUAUCUAUAUUUUGGCUUAGAUAUAUAUUAUAAAUAAUAUAUGUAUUAGAUAACAAUCUCCUCUACUGCAAUGCAUCUUAUUUGUAUCUUAUUUAAGGGAAUUAAGUAAACUUGCCUAUAAAUGCAAACUGAAUUUAAUGAUCCACAGAGGGUGGGGCUGUGGGUUAAGCCACAGAGCCUAGAGCUUGCUGAUCAGAAGGUCGGCGGUUCAAAUCCCCGCGAUGGGGUGAGCUCCCAUUGCUCAGUCCCUGCUCCUGCCAACCUAGCAGUUCGAAAGCACGUCAAAGUGCAAGUAGGUAAAUAGGUACCACUCCGGUGGGAUGGUAAAUGGUGUUUUUGUGCGCUGCUCUGGUUUGCCAGAAGCGGCUUAGUCAUGUUGGCCACAUGACCCGGAAGCUGUCUGUGGACAAACGCCAGCUCCCUCGGCCUAUAGAGCGAGAUGAGCGCCACAACCCCAGAAUCGUCUGCAAUUGGACCUAAUGGUCAGGGGUCCCUUUACCUUUACCCUUUAAAUCCCUACUAAGGAGUUGUUAUGUACUGAAGUUCUCACCCUGGGCCAGCAGGGGGACACUGUAGAUAGUUCGGGUCCACAUAUGCAAAUAAGGGAUCGAAAGUGACGUUCAGUGAUUGGAUAGUUACAGAAAGUUGUUACACUUACGUUGCACUGGAGCUCUAUAUAAGCAGGCUGGCUGAUCCCUUCAGUUCAGUUCUGUUCUGGCCUGUGAAUAAACAAGAGCUGUUUGAAGAAUCCCUGUGUCGUCUGAUAUGUUCACCCACAACUUAACAGGAGUAUUUGGAGAAGGGCUUCUACAGAAAAUAUUAACAAAUAGGUAAGCUGGUAUGGAAAGAAUUGUGCCUUCGGGUACCUGGGUCCUAAGCCAUUUAGGAUUUUUAAGAUAAGUACCAGUACCACCUCCCUGAAUUCAAAGAAAAUAGGCAGCUCCCCAACAACCACUUCCCACCCCAUUGGCAGUAACACCAGCAGGGGCUGGAGGUGGCAGGAGGCAGAUAAGCUCUGGACUGUGGAGCUUCAGAUAAGCAUCCCACCAUAAGCCAUGAAUUCAAGUCCUGUCUCAAAACUGAACGACCAAAUCAGUGAUCAUUUGCAAGGAUCCACAUUCAGUCCUAGCCAGUCACAUGAGUUAUGUUGCACGAUAAUCAACUUUAUAGAUAUUUGUUGCACUUGUAUGCACCAAACCAAUUUAAAUAUACAUACUUAUGUUCCACAGUAGCAAUAACUGCAUCUUCUGUUUACCUUGAUCCUCCAGGUCAUCUGAUUUCCAAAAAAAUUGACACAUGUCCUUUCCUUUGGUGAGAAAUCUAUGGUUGCAUACCUUCCAAGUGCCCCAUUUUAAGCAGGACGGCCACACUUUCUUUGAAGGCGCCCUAGGCUCUGACUUUGUCCUGUGCACCCUGAUUUUGCAUCAUCUGGAACAGGGACUGUGGAAGCAGUUCCUGCAUUGGCACUGGGAAGAAGUGCUUGCCAGAUGUAAAAAAAGAAAAUUGGAAAUUAUUUAUGUAUGCAACAACAGCGGCGAGAAUUAUAUUAGCACAAACUUGGAAGACAGAAGAAAUACCAACGAAAGAACAAUGGCAAGGGAAGCUAACAGAAAAAUUACAUGAAAAGGACAACAAAGACUUUAAAAGAGAAUGGGAACCAUUUACAACAUACCAUAUUUUUCGCUCCAUAAGGCGCACCGGACCAUAAGGCGCACCUAGUUUUUAGAGGGGGAAAUCAAUUUAAAAAAUCUCUCCCCCCCCAGCCCCAAAGAGCAGCGGACAGGCUGCGCAGGAACACGCGCUGCUCUCCGAAGGCUUCAGGCGGCUAUACCUGAAGCCUGGAGAGUGAGAGGGGUCGGUGCGCACUGACCCCUCUCGCUCUCCAGGCUUCAGCAAAAGCAACACGAAACCUCCGGAGGCUUUGCGUUGUUAUUGCUGAAGUCAAGGAGCCUGCAUUCGUUCCAUAGGAUGCACACAUAUUUCCCCUUAAUUUUUGGAGGGGAAAAAGUGCGCCCUAUAGAGCGAAAAAUACGGUAUACGAAGAGGCAACAUAAAGAAAUGGACUCACUGGCAGGAUUUGAGUAAACAAUCACAACUGUAUACAACAAGAAAUAAGACUAUAUGUAUUGAGAAAAUUUUGGGGAAACAAUACGCAGGGUGAACAAUAUGGAAAGAAAACAAAACGUGAUUGCCCACCUUUCGGAAGGAGGUGGGAGGGCUCUUGCACCUUGUCAGGGCAUCGUGCCUCCUUCCCUAAGCUGGGCAGAAGCUUCCUGGGCUGUGGGAAGGAGGUGUGAAGCCCGUGUCCCCAUUUUUAGCAGAAUGUUGGCGCACAUGUGUUUGUUGUCUUUCAUGCCUAAACACCUUUGUGAAAUAGAAAAAGGUGUGGGCAUAUGGAUGCAAUUUGCAAAGGACACAGUGCAUGCUGCCAUGCCUAGUCUCAACGGCUUCAGUGGGACUCUUAAUGAGAGGAAGCCUUAUGACCAUGACUAUGGAAAUAAAGUCCUGAAUUUGUUUAAUUAUGUACUCCCCCUCCCCCUCAAAAAAACCAGGACUAGAGCAUGGUUGGAGUCCCACUACAUACCAAUGAGGCAAUUAAUUCCCCAGGCAGAUAACAGAAAGUCAAGUCAUUAGUAGCUCUCUAUUGGGCAGAACUUUUAAUUAUUCAGCAUAAUAAAGCUCCUGUUUGGGGGCUAUAAUUCUCCCUCUGAUGCCCCACAGAGAUUUUUCAGGUGAGUAAUUCCAAAGGAAGAUACCUUGCCUCUUUUUGUGGUGUAUCCUUUCACCUGCAAGUUAAUUAACUUGCAGUUUAAUCUUCCAUAGGAACAUAUGAAGCUACUACCUUACUCCAAGUCAGACCAUCGGCCUACUUAGUAUUAUUUACUUUUAGUGGCUACAGUUCUCCAAGGCUUUGGGCAGAAGCUUAUCGCGCUGUUGCUGUCUGAGAUCCUUUUCGAUGGGGAUGCAGAAGACUGAUGUGUGCAAAGUGUAUGUAUGAGACAUUUUUUAAUACUUUGCUUUCCGUGGGAAACAUCCAUAAGUCCCCCCCCCCGAGUGUGGUUCUUCAAGGCCACUUCUCCUGUUUCCCCUUACAGCCCUCUUACCCACUAAACUACCAUCUAAGCCACACUAGAGAGCUGGAUUUAAGGGAGCGUGACCAGUUAGCCAACACUGGAUGCUGAGCUGAGAGGGCGCCACAGUGGGGGCUACAACAAUGAUGAACAAUGGAUGGCGAGAGGUUGGGGGGGGGCAGAUUUUGGCAUAGAACAGGGCACCAUUGAAACUUUAAAGCCCAAAGUCUGCCACUGCAUGGUAGCAUAUUUCCUCUAGCACCAUGCAACAUGUGACUGAAGAAAAAAAGUAUGGCAACAAGUAGAAGAAGAGUUUGGAUUUGAUAUCCCGCCUUUCACUUCCUUUAAGGAGUCUCAAAGCGGCUAACAUUCUCCUUUCCCUUCCUCCCCCACAACAAACACUCUGUGAGGUGAGUGGGGCUGAGAGACUUCAAAGAAGUGUGACUGGCCCAAGGUCACCCAGCAGCUGCAUGUGGAGGAGCGGGAACGCGAACCCGGUUCCCCAGAUUACGAGACUACCGCUCUUAACCACUACACCACAGGAGCAAGGAACAUGGCCACCACCACCUAGACUGCCAUGAGGAGCAACACCACCAGUAAGACAGGUGAACAUUUCACCCUUUUUUUCAUUGUCUCCCAAAAAAUCACCUAAGAGGAAGAAGGAUAUCUUUGUGCAGCCUGUGUUUAGGGCCCUUUUUUAUCUCAGUCCUAGGCACGAAAUAUCCAGUAAUAAAAACCUUUUUAGUUUCUUGAGAAGGUUUGAAGUCCAGGAUUUGUUUCCGUUUUAAUUUUUUCAGACUCUCAUACAUCACCUACUCUUCUAAGGCUAGACUGAGUUGACAUACUUAUUCAGACCAUGGGAUAAGUGCCAUAUAUAUUAUUCUUCCAUGCCCUUUGGAGACAUUAUAAAAUAUCAGGAUGAUCUAUAAUUGAGGGGGAAAUGUUCAGCAAAAGUUACAUUUAUCUCCUUAACCUGUCUCAACCCUGGAAUAAAACUCCUUUAGGAGUCUUCAGAAUUGUGCUUACUUCACAGAAAGUCGCUGCCUGGUGCCUAGGGUUAAACGAGACAACCAAUUCAGAGUUGCAGGCAAACAGUUCCAGGAGCAGGAUGUCAAUCAUGUCUAAAUAAAUCCCACCUUGCCUCCUGUUUCUCAGAAUUGUUGUUUCUCAGUGGCUCCUCUCCAAGCAAGCUCAGUGUCAGAGAGAAUCAGAAACAGGACAUACAGCUUUCAGGACAUGCAUUCAGUCUUCUCUUGGGCUGCGUUUGAUUGGGUCCACCUAAAUGACUAGUUUUAUAAAGGGUUGGGGUGCAGGCUUGCAUGCCAGAAUCAAAAUUUUAUUUUGUUUGCAUGUCAAUGAAAAGCUACCUAAUCUGCACUUCUUAAAGCCGUAUGUGAACCAAAACACAAAUAUCCUUCAAAAUUAGCACUGCUCUGAAUUUUGUGAUGCAGGUCCAGUGCUUUUUUUCUGGGGGGACACAGGGGUACACAUACCCCUAAACAUUUUGUGAAUCUAAGUUUGGCCUCAUUGAGGGGCAGUAUUUCAAUAUGAGUAGGAAAAUGAGAGUACCCCUAAACAUUUUUUAAAGAAAAAAAGCACUGUGCGGGCCUCUAACCAAACAACAUGUGAAAAACAAUUGCAUGCAAUUUGUGGCAUCUAAAUACUCCCACAAUCUCCUUGCUUUGACCACGAGAAGCCAAAGUCUGAUCCAGUAGGAGGCAAAAUAAAAGGAGAGUCCUGUGCAUGUUUCCUCGGGAUGAAAGUCUUAUUCCCUUCCUCCACAACUGAUGGUAAUGAAAACUACCUGUCCUGGAUUAGGCUUUCAGGCCAGGAGAAUGCACACACAACUUCCUCCUCAGGAGUGUUUAAUGGAGCGACAUGAUGGUUAUGGGCACUUUGCCUCAAGAAGUGAUAAAGUUCACUUAUUAUAUGGGAUGAGAAUCUCUGCCAACCUGUGUUUUUAAUUGACAUAUACAUCUGAUUACCAAUGUGCAUCAUUUUAUAUAACAUUGCAUGGAGCAUUCCAUUUGUAAUACUUGAUGUGCUGUAGCACUGCUAAUAGGCUGUAUUCCAUGUCAAUUCUCUUCCAUGAAUAUAUCUGUAUGCACAUCAUUCAACUAUGUUAUGGAUCAAAACUGAUAAAAAAUUCAUAAACUAAAAAUACUCCCUUGGACGUCACUUACACAACUUUUUAAUUUAAUUUUAAUUAUUAAUAGUGUAGUUGCGCUUUUUCCUUUCUGCUUUGUGAAAUGUGUGGCUGCCAGAGUAUCUGCCUGACUUCUCUACUUUUAUAGCUUUUUCAGCAACACCUUCAAGUUCCUUGAAGCAUUUUUUUUCCUCAUGCAAAGUUAAUUAGGCAGUAAUUUGUCAGCAUUAUUUUCACAGAUACUAUUGCAGUUUGACAUUCUGCGAUCAAGACGCGCUAGCCCAAAUCCGGAGAUAUUUGCAUCACUGUGUGUGUGAAGAUCUCUCCCUGAAAACACGUGGCUGGGGCUAUCAGCUUGGGCAAGACGAUUGGCUCUGUGGAUCCCUUCAGGCAAGUGAUGGGUCAAGUCAUGUGAUCACCAUAAACAGGAUCAGAGGGACAUACGUAGCUGGCUAGGUUGUAGGGGGUGUCUGUCUCUCUAAUUUUGUGUUAUGCCACACUUCCCAUGGCAACCAUAUUGUGUUAUGUCACAUCUCCUCCACCCCAAAUAGUAGAUAUUUUAAGACACUCCCUUAAAAUUUUGAAAUGUGCCCACUGAUCCAAAAUGUUGGGUACCCCCUUGUCCAAAAUGAUAGUUUAAUAUUGCCUCUGGGGUACCUAAUGGUUGGGGAUAGAGGAGAAUCACUGAAUCAUUGAAUGAGAAACUCUUCAGAGCUUGGGGAAGGUGAGAUGCAUCCAGCCAAGGAAGAGAGAGAGAGAGAGAGAGAGAGAGAGAGAGAGAGAGAGAGAGAGGAUGAAGUUUGGAAGAUACGGUAUAGGGUUUCCAACACAAGGACAGAAACCCUGGUCCAUCAGGGCUCCUCUCCACAUGGUGCAAACCCUACAUGCAAGUAAGGCUGCCUCUUUCAGACUAACACUGAUCACAUAUCACCCAGGGAGCAUAUCUAUCUGAUAAAGUUAGAUGAACUAAUAUGGUUCAGUUCUGAUGCGGGACCUCUCAGUGGGAGACUGCAUGAUUUGCUUGCAGAAGGUCUGAUGUUCAGUUCCAGACAUCUCCAGGUGAGACCAGGGUAGACCCCUGCUUGAAACCCUGGAAAUCCACUGCCAGUCAGUGUUGACAAUAAUGAACUAGGUGAUCCAGUGGUCUGACUUAAGACAGCUUCUUAGAUUCCUAUGCACAUUGCAGGGGAGAGGGCAGUGUAAUGUUUCAAGUUCGCUAUGCCUUCUAAAUGAUUUAAAAUGCAUUUGUAUUAUUUAAAUCACCGCAAAUGAACACCAGCAAGUAAUAAAGGCAAUAACAAUGCAUAAACAAUUCCAUCCAUCUUCUAAUCUUGAUGAGCUUUUAUAUGUAAUAGUGACAUCCGUACAGCUGGUUCUGAAAACCGAUGAUAUGUAGCCAAUCAAUCAUACAUUUCCAUUUGGAGCGUAUUCUGUGCAUGCCUUAUAGUCCUCUUUCUGGUUACAUUAUGCUUAGAUCAAUAGAGCUGAAAUAAAUAGAGAAAAACAUCAAGCCACCCCCUCUCUCUUCUACAGAACAUUGUCUCAUCACAACAUUCUACUAUAACCUCUGAGAAUUCAAAGCGUUACUGAAAAUUAACUGGCUCCACAUCGUUGGCAAUCUCAUUCACACCAUCUUUGUUUCCAGUCAUUCAAAUAAUUGUAAUUUCAGCAUCUCUGCACAUUAAGUUUCAUCCAUGCUGACCCAUAUCUAUUUCCCAAUUAAAACGUUAAAUUAUAUCUGAUUUUUGCUAAACAGAUUUUCCUUGGGAGGCAUUAGGACAUCUUCCAACAUUUCUGAGUUCUAAGGUUUCCCAGGGACAGCAAUUACAUAUAGCAACAAGUGUCCUAGUUCCGUAUGUCAAGGCAAGAUUUAAUAUUUCUCAAGGCAUCAGGAGAAUGCAUAACUUAAUGUAGAACAGCUUGGAUGCGCCAGUCAAAUACACAAACAAGCCCUGCGUUCAUCAGGUGGCACUUUUUGCAACUGUCAAAUGGGGAAUUUGUGUAAUGGCCAGGCCAAAGAUGCGGGUAUAGUUUGCACAAGUUCCCUUGAACUGGUUCCCCUUCAAAUAAGCCAGCCAAAUCAAAUAAGCCAGUACUGCAAAGUUGGCUGACAGUACUUCGGGCUGUGACCACACCUGUCCUCCUUCCACCAAAUUCAUAUAUCAAACCUGCUGUGUGGGUGGUGGUUUGAAACUCCACAGGGGAAAGGCCCUUCAAGGCAGGAAGUGGGUAGUCUUGGGGACACUUGCUCUAUACAAGUUGUUCAGGCUGAAUCCGAACAUUUAUAGGACUAGGAGGAACCUUAUUGGUUCCUUGUCCCUUGCUGAGCUGGUAGCUGCAGAACCACCCCCUCACCACCUGCAAUGGUGGUGCUGAAAUGCAGUAAGGAGUAGGCCAGCAGGUCUCUCCUCUGGAUGAUGACCACAGAUGCACAGGAAAUAAGGCACCCAAGUCCUACUUCUAGUAAAGUACUUGACAUUUUACACCUCCCAAUGCAAAGUUUUCCCAUCAUUGAAAUCUCAGGUGGGGAAUUGCUCAAAGGUUCAGUACUGGUCAACUUCAAACCGAGUCUAAAAUAGAAAUCUCUAUGUUGAAAUGAGAUGAGCCUCCUCAUUUUAAGGGAGUCGUAGCCAUUAAUCCAAAUUGUCAUGGUGAAUUCUGUGAGUUGAUUACGUAAUAUAUGAAGAAGCAUUUCUACAUUAUUAUUUACGCAUUAUGUAUUCUUCUUCUUGAAUCUAUUGCCCAAUCAAUUUCUUUGUGGAGAACCCUGUGGUCUAAGAUUAUGAGUGAAGGUGAAAUAAAUCCCUCUCAUUUCUCUAUACAAUGAACACAAUACCCCCCUACCAUUCUUCCCCCCCUUUUUCACUAGGCUCUGCUGCCUGACUCAUGUUGCUCACCACUCCCACCUGCCUUCUUGCUAACCCUCUAUCCAUUACACCUUACCCAUUCCCACCCUUAGCCAACCUGACUACCUGUCACCCCACUGCAUUGCCAAUCCCCAUUAACCCACAGUUUGCCCCAAACACCCCCUUCCCCACCCCCUCACAGACUGUCUCAAUCCCAAGGUCCUGCUGCCGCCACCAUUUGCAGAGGAAUGAAGAGGAGAAAGUCUUUCCCCCCUUUGCUCUCUGCUACUGACAGAAGGAAGAAAACCAAAACAUACUGAUGGGUGAGAGACUAGAACAGUCUCAACUCAGAACCCACAAUGUGAGUAUCCCUCGCCUUUCAAGGGGCCAGCUGCACAUAUGCCUUAAGUCCAAAACUUUGUACUGCAGCCACCUUCCAUCAAGUCUGGGUCAUUUUUUUCUUUCAUAAAUCUUGUUUAUUUCAGUUUUCCCCAAGUGUUUUGUGGCAACAGACACAGAAGUAAACCUGCUUCUAUAGCAGGAUUGGAUGUGAAACUUUGACAGCCCUAUUCCUUUUCUAUAUGAAUGGUGGAAAUAGGUUUGUCUACCAACGAUAAAUCCCAUAAUGUGCAAUUGCUGGUGGAGCAGGAUAGUGUGAGUUAAGUGAUUAAUUUUUAUAAGUUUUAAGAAACAGGUAUUGGUGUCAAUAAGCAGAUCAGAGAAAACAACAACAAAAGUACACAGCCAUAUCAAGAGCUAUUUAAAAUGUUUAAUAUAUCACUAAUAUUCUGCCCUAGGCGUCACAGAAAGCAUCGAUCCAUUCUCAACGGAAUCGUGUUCACAGUACUCAUAAAAGUGAUGUUAAAAUGGUCUGUCUUCAUAUUUUUUAGCCCUUCUAAAAAUUCACUUAGGUCAUUUCACAACUGUCCCUAACCAUAGCUCAACAUCUCUUUGGUUUUAUAUCAUUUGAAGAAGCUCAUCUUUAUGUUCUUUCUAUCUAAAUGUGUUGAAAAAAGGGAGCAGGAGGGGGCAAAUGUACCCAUCUAAAUUGAAUUGGCAAGGAUUGCCCCUAUUGUUCAAACACUUCUCCACCUCAUACUUCUGCACAUAUAUUUUUUUUUAAAUGACUGAGAUAAACUUAUGGUUAAUGUCAGUGGCAGAGAGAAAUAUUGGAGUCUUUGGUAACUAUGGCAUGAACCUAGAAAUAGCGGGUGGUUAACAUAACUGAGUGCCUAACAAAUUCUUUCUCUCUUGUAACGUGAAGCCAGAACUGGUGUAGCAGUCAGACUACAGACUUGGAUCAUCAACCACAAAGCACUAAUCUACCUCAGGCACAGCUCGUGAGGAUAAAAGUGGACUCUACCACCUCAAAGAAAAGGUGAGACGAAAAUGCUCAGAACUGGCAGAACAUCUGCUUUGUAUGCACAAGGUCCCAGGUUCAAUCCUGUACAUCUCCAGAUUGUAUUGGGAGAGACCAUGUAAACAGUAUUGAACUAAAUGGGUCAAUACUCUGACUCAGUACAAGAUAUAUUCGUAUGUUCCGAUGCAGAAUAAUAAAUAGCAGUUUCAGUUUCAGAGUUUUGACAUGAGCGGCAUGAGCAUGUCCACUUGGAUCAAAGCUAGAGUACCAGCUAGGAAGAGGAGACAGGGAGGGAGAGAGAUAGAUAGAUUUACUGUGGGAGGAAAAUCUGAGUCUUCUCUAGCUAUAGCAGUCCUAGCUAGUCAGGGAUGACAUAAUGAGGGUGAGGCUCUCACUGCACUGUUGUUGUUUAGUCGUUUAGUCAUGUCCGACUCUUCAUGACCCCAUGGACCAGAGCAUGCCAGGCACUCCUAUCUUCCACUGCCUCCCGCAGUUUGGUUAGACUCAUGUUUGUAGCUUCGAGAACACUGUCUAGCCAUCUCGUCCUCUGUCAUCCCCUUCUCCUUGUGCCCUCAAUCUUUCCCAACAUCAGGGUCUUUUCCAGGGAGUCUUCUCUUCUCAUGAGGUGGCCAAAGUAUUGGAGCCUCAGCUUCAGGAUCUGUCCUUCCAGUGAGCACUCAGGGCUAAUUUCCUUAAGAAUGGAUGCAUUUGAUCUUCUUGCAGUCCAUGGGACUCUCAAGAGUCUCCUCCAGCACCACAAUUCAAAAGCAUCAAUUCUUCGGCGAUCAGCCUUCUUUAUGGUCCAGCUUUCACUUCCAUACAUCACUACUGGGAAAACCAUGGCUUUAACUAUACAGACCUUUGUUGGCAAGGUGAUGUCUCUGCUUUUUAAGAUGCUGUCUAGGUUUGCUAUCGCCUUUCUCCCAAGGAGCAGGCGUCUUUUAAUUUCGUGGCUGCUGUCACCAUCUGCAGUGAUCAUGGAGCCCAAGAAAGUAAAAUCUCUCACUGCCUCCAUUUCUUCCUCUUCUAUUUGCCAGGAGGUGAUGGGCCCAGUGGCCAUGAUCAUCGUUUUUUUGAUGUUGAGCUUCAGACCAUAUUUUGCGCUCUCCUCUCUCACUCUCAUUAAAAGGUUCUUUAAUUCCUCCUCACUUUCUGCCAUCAAGGUUGUGUCAUCUGCAUAUCUGAGGUUGUUGAUAUUUCUUCCGGCGAUCUUAAUUCCAGCUUGGGAUUCAUCCAGCCCAGCCUUUCGCAUGAUGAAUUCUGCAUAUAAGUUAAAUAAGCAGGGAGACAAUAUACAGCCUUGUCGUACUCCUUUCCCAAUUUUGAACCAAUCAGUUGUUUCCAUAUCCAGUUCUAACUGUAGCUUCUUGUCCCACAUAGAGAUGUCUCAGGAGACAGAUGAGGUGAUCAGGCACUCCCAUUUCUUUAAGAACUUGCCAUAGUUUGCUGUGGUCGACACAGUCAAAGGCUUUUGCAUAAUCAAUGAAGCAGAAGUAGAUGUCUUUCUGGAACUCUCUAGCUUUCUCCAUAAUCCAGCACAUGUUUGCAAUUUGGUCCCUGGUUCCUCUGCCCCUUCGAAAUCCAGCUUGCACUUCUGAUUUGAUUGCCUGUGUGGCAGCAUCACUGAGUGCAAGUAAAGUCAGUUCAGAAAGAUAGCAAUCCAUUGCACUGCCAUCACUCUGAAUGGAUAUACACUUUAAAUGCCCUCUUUGAUGUGAUUGCUGGCAAACUGUUACAGGAGGCAACGUUUUUCAGCGCAGCUGAAAGUUCACAAAUGUGCUGCACUUUUGGCUCAGCUUUAAUUUCACCAAGUGUGAAAGAUAAAGGUAAAGGACCCCUGCAGGGGUGUGGCACAUGUCCUGGGGUGGGGCACGCCGCCUGCAGGAGUGUGGCGCCCAGCGUGGGCGGGAGGGCAGCCGCGAUGCCACCCUACUGGGAUUGCGCUGCCGGGGUGGUGCGCUCCCCCCGCACUCCUCUUCCUCCGCCAGUGGACCCCUGGACGGUUAAGUCCAGUCAAAGACGACUAUGGGGUUGAGGCGCUCAUCUCGCUUUCAGGCCGAGGGAGCCAGCAUUUGUCCACAGACAGUUUCCCGGUCAUGCGGCCAGCAUGACUAAACUGCUACUGGCGCACGGAAACACCGUUUACUUUCCAGCUGCAGCGGUACCUAUUUAUCUACUUGCACUGGCAUGCUUUCGAACUGCUAGGUUGGGAGGAGCUGGGAAAGAGCAAUGGGAGCUCACCCUGUCAUGGAGAUUUGAAUAGCUGACCUUCCGAUCAGCAAGCCCAAGAGGCUCAGUGGUUUAGACCACAGGCGCCACCCGCGUGCUGUGUGUGUGUGCGUGUGUAUAUGUGUGUGCCCAAAUAUGUGUGUACGCAUGCACAAAAAAGUUUUGGUAUUGAUUCUUAGUCUCUGGGUUGACUUUUGUAGCAAUUCUUUCAACUUUAUUAUCUUACAUCAUGUACAAUAAAAUUAGCUAUGAUGGUUUCAUGCAUGCUUUCGAUACUGAAUGAAAUUGCACGGGUCGAGACUUUUCUGCAAUUUUGAAUGGCGAACAUUUGGGGCAAUUUAAAACAAACUCCAUUCUUUAUUGAUCCAACUUCUCUGCUGAUGAAAGCUUUGGCACCUCAUGCUCAAUCAUCAGACGGCUGUGUGCAUGGUGCCUCUAGUCCACCCUUUGCCUUUCUCAUCCUGUUUUCAAUAGGAUUCUCCUCUGCCACAGAAGAAUUCAUUUUCUCCAUCUCUUGGGCCAAUUGCCUUACUGUCAGUGAUAGAGAGAACCUCUUGAAAUCUUUAUCAGUAUAAAUACCCACAGAGACUGAAUCAUGGCAGAUUCCAUGCUCACACCUGCUAUUGCAGGUUUCUCCAGAGCUGACUGAAGAGACCAUUCAGUGAAUCUCCUCUCCCUCUCCUUUUCUCUGCUCUUGCAGGCUGUGAAAAGAAGAACCUUAAAGACUUUGAUUCACUGUGAUAGAGUGUACUAGACAGACUAUGCUGUAAGUAAAAUGGGAGGGUUAAAACCAAUGGAAUGAAAGAGACUGAACUAAAAGCACUGAACUUUCACUGAAGUAGUGGCUGGAUCAUGAAUUAGCUACCAUAUGGGCCAUGGCAAUGAUUCCUUCCUACUUUGUAGGAGAACUUGCCCAUUAAUGUUCUAAACAAGCUACAUAUCAGGGGUGGGCACAGCAAAGUCUGGCAAUGGUGGGACAAGGGGACAUUUAUUUACAGAGGUUUUCCACUUAAAGAGCGGAAUGGAAUCUCAUUCAUCAAGCAAUGAUGUAGCAAGAGAAAUCCAGGUUCAGCAUGAGGUUGAUGGGGGAACAAGCAAACAAAAUGGAAAGGAAUUGCCUUAAGACAGGUAUCAUUGGACUACAGCUCCCAUCCAUGGUGGCUGGGGCAGAUGGGAAUUGUAGUUCAAUGGUAUCUGGAAGACACCAGGAUGGUGAAAAUUGCCUUAAGUGGUAGAACUUUUCCAACUGGAGGGAGAAAAAGAAUACUAGCAGCUCAAAAUAGGCACACAUGCAGUCUGUUGGGGUUUUCUAACCAACUGGUUUUGAGGCACCGUGAGAUUUGAUGCCAUUAUGCAUAGGGGAUGCUUGUGAAUUGCACAGACCUGAUUGACAGUUCCCAGAAUAAUGCAUGGACUGGAACUUUGUUCGCCAGCAGUUUUCAGUCUCCACAAAUGCUCCAGCAAAGUUCUCAGCUCAAAAAACUUAUCAGAAUGCACUUUUAAAAUGUAUUUCAUAAUGCAUGUUUUGACGGAACUAGAUUUGGAAAUGCAUAUUUUUCUAAAUAAUAAUAAUAUAAAAGGUUUUUAUACUGUUGUUCACCAAACAUGUUCACAGAGUGGCUUUAUAAACAAUAAGGUACUCUAAAGGCAUAAUAAACAAUAGCAUGAAACUACUUCUCCAGCUAUAUAAAUAUGAUAAUUAACAACACCAUAAGAAUUACCUAACCUAAGAACCCUAAAAACCUAGUGAGAAAGGCAAAAUUUUACCUGUAGCGUAUGACUACAGUGGUACCUUGGUUUAAGAAGAGGAGGAGGAGGAGUUUGGAUUUGAUAUCCUGCUUUAUCACUACCCAAAGGAGUCUCAAAGUGGCUAACAUUCUCCUUUCCCUUCCUCCCCCACAACAAACACUCUGUGAGGUGAGUGGGGCUGAGAGACUUCAAAGAAGUGUGAGUGGCCCAAGAACACCCAGCAGCUGCAUGUGUAGGAGCGGGGACGCGAACCCGGUUCACCAGAUUACAAGUCCACCGCUCUGAACCACUACACCACACUAGCUCUCUCACUGGCUAAACUGUUUAAGAACAGUUUAGUUUAUGAACAACUUGGAUUAAGAACACUGCAAACCCAGAAGUAGGUAUUUUGGUUUGUGAGCUUUGCCUUGGAAGUAGAACAUGUUUCGCUUCCUGUUGAGUGUGUUCCAUUUGUAAAUUGAGUCCUCCGCUGCUAUGGGAAAGCACAACUUGGAUUAAGAAUACUUUGGUUUAAGAAUGGACUUCCAGAAUGGAUUAAUUUAGUAAACCAAGGUACCACUGUAUUUGUGCCACUUUCUCUGAAGUUGAUCUGCAAGAUUGGGAUGUUGGUAAUCUAGCUGUUUACUGUUCUGGUGCUAGUAUUUUGCCCAGUGGCUCCACCUUCACUGCAGAACACAUUGCCCCACAAAGCACAGGUGCCUGCCUCUCUGAAUGUCUCUCACCUUUUCAAAAAGGCAUUUUUGCUCCAGCGGAGUUUUGCCUGUUAAUGAUAUGCUGUUUGAUGUUUUAACUGCGGUUUCUGCCUUUGCUGUAUUUUAAUGUAUCUUUUAUAGUUCUAUAUGAUCUUGUGUUUUUAUUGUUGUGAGCCAUCCUGCAAGCUGCCCUGAGUCCUCCAUAGGCAGUGGAACUGCAGGAUAGAAAUGUUUCUAUAAACAAACAAGCAAAUAAAAAACGCCCCCUUGCAUUCGGCCAUAGGUAACCUCGCUGGUCCAACCUAAAGGCAAUUUCAUGGCUUCUCUUUGAUCCAUUCUGUAUUUUCACCAACCAGAUGCACUGUUUUUAUUCCAGACACAAACAUUUCCUUCAGUCUUUUAGCUAGCCUGUGCUGAGGGGCUUGCUUUUUGUGUGUGUGCGCGCACUUAAUCUAUUAAUUAAUUUAUAUAAAUUUAUAGCCUGUGCUAUCCCUGAAGUAUUAGAUUGGGUAACAACAACCUUCCAGGAAUAAAAUCAAUAAAAAGGGAUCAUAAAAGAUUUAAUGUCCUCAUAAACUAGUCAAACACACAACUAAAAGAAAUUCUUGCUUACUGGCAGGCCGUAGAAUGCUGUCCUGAAUCCAAAGGUCCUAAAGACCAGUCUCUGGGAGAAUCUUAGAUGAAGGUUUGCAUCCAGAGUUGUUCUUCCGUGAACCCAAGGGGCCCUUCUGUUUGUGGAAAGGUCUUUGCUCCAGUGGAGACUCCCCUGCUGGAAAGGGAGGAGGCUCUCCCUUUCCCCCUGCAAAUCCCCACACAAUGUCCCAUGCUGUUUCAGAGGGUCGCCUUUGGAGCAGAGUAUCAGGGAACUGAAAAAAGGAGGACUUAAUUUAAAAAUGCCCUCUCCUUUCUUUCUCCAGCAGGAGGGUCCCAUGAGCAGAAUUCUGCUUGCCUCAUCUCUCGAUCAAAAUGUGACUCUUUAGUGUAUCUUCACAGUAAGGGAUUUUCCCAGAAAUGAAGAACAAUGCCAAUAACACUUCUUUAUGUUCCUUUGCAGGAUGAACUUGGCACAUAAACGAGUCGCUCUGCGUUGAUCCUAUAAGUCAUCUGUAAGAAUAGCAUGUCCACAGAUCAUUGUUUCAACCCAGUGUGCAGAAUUGCUGUACACGUCUGCCCAAAAUGAUGGAGUGCAAAUGUAAGCAGCAUUCGGACCAAUAUGCAACAUAGUGCUAAAAAAAAAUGUGUACUAUGAAUCCUUCAAGCAUCUACCCUAGAAAAUCUAAUAAGAUUGGCAUAAAUUUGACCUAGACUGAUUAUUAAGGCGGCAGCGGCGGGGGGGGGGCAGGGGGCAGAGAUGAUUCACUUUUCUCAUCAAAGCUAUGAAAGAGGUCUUACCAGUUUUGAGUAUUCUCGUGAACAUCAUAUUCAUUAUUCAUUUAGCUUCAUUUUUAGGCAGGCCAAAGUUCAAGAUUCAUUAGACUGUUAUUCAGUAGUCUGAUUAGUUUAAAAUGUGGAAUCUGAUACACCAGUUCAUUUAUUAAUCAGUAAAGUUGACUUAUUUCAGUGUAACUUCUUUUGACUCAUUUGGUAUUAUGUCAGACUCAAAAGUACUGAUUUAAUGAAUAUCAAAUAGCAAAUGUGCAGUUCAACCAUGAACCAGAAACUAUAGGAUACCUGCCACACUUAAGACAUACUGAACUAACAAAUAAGACUUUAGGCUAUAUCCCUAACUAAAGUUCCUCUGCUGCUGUUUAUUGUGUGGUGGGGGAGAAAUUUGUUUUGUUCAAGUUUGAAUCUAUCCAAUUUGUACAUCCUAAACCAAUUAAUGAAACACAGCUAUUUUAUAAAAGUUACACCUCUCUGAAUUUUGCAAUCGAGUUCUCCAACCCCAAGUUGUGCAUAUUAAAGAAAAGGAUUUGAUUUUUUUUCCAUUUUUGAAAAUAAUGUACAGAACUAUUUUAUAUUAGGGGAUAUGUCUUAUUAAAAUACAUAUAUAAGAGAAAAUGCAAGGAACUUAGGAAAAAUGUAUAUAACAUUAUAUCUGAAUUUUCAUGCAUAUUUAAAAAUAAAUAAAUCACAGGAUUCAACUAAUGAGUCUCAUCACUGGAAGCCUGCCCAAGAACUUCCACUUGCACAGUGAAGUCCCCCACCCACCCUGUCCCUCUCCCCACUUCUCCAGAAUUGGCUCUGGUGGGGGAACAGAAGAAUCCCAGAACUGUGUUGUGGGGAGAAGUGGAUCAAUCCACCUGGCUAGCUGAAAAGCUUGGAAUUAUCCCAAGAGCAUGGUACUGAAUUCCUUCCCAAUUCCCAUAAAUGAGAAACUGAGAGAAGUCAGUUUUGUCAAUUCCUAUGUUAACUAGAUAGAUGAUGAAUGAACAACAGAAAUGUGUGUGGAAAUGGGUACAUAAAGAUCGGCAGUACCAGUUAUGGGCAAAUGCCACCUUUGCCUUUCUUUCAGAACUGGCUUUGCCCCACUUUCAUUUCAAUUUGUUCCUUCACCUCUCCACUUUGGACUUCUCUAUUUUGUCCCUGCUCCAUCUGCUGGGCUAUUUGCUGCUCAUCUCUGCACACUCCCAGUGCCAGAUUUACAUAUAAGCUAAACAAGCUAUAGUUUAGGGCCCCACUCUCUUGCCCCCCCCAAAUAUACUUCUUAAUUGUAUUUCACUAUUAAUAUACUUCUUCUUAAUUGUAUUUCAAUUCAACAAUUACUUUGGUAAAAUACAUAUUUUGCUAUGCGCAAAUGGCUUUAGAAACCUAUUAAGUCCAUAAAUUACCAUAUAGCAUAUAUUCAACACAAAAAACAGUGACAAUUUGUUGUUGACAAAGGAAAGCUGGACAUAUGAAGGGCCCCGUUACCUUCAGUAGCUUAGGGCCUCAUCUAAAUCUAAAUCCGGCCCUGCACACUCCCAAUAACUCUGGUCUCUUUGCCUCCAAGCAUGUUAAACAUCAGUGUGUGGUAUAGUGCUUUAGAGUGUUGGACUAAGACCUGAGAGGGGGGGUUUAAAUACCCACUCAGCCAUGAAACUCACUGGGUGAUCUUAGACCAAUCAUGGUCUUUCAGCCUAACCUACAUCACAUGUUUGUUGUGAGGAGAAAAUGGGGAAGAGAAGAGUCACAUGCGUGACCUGGAGCUCCUUGGAGGAAAGCUGGAAUAUAAAUGGAGAAAUGUUUGCUAUCUUCACCUGCAUAAAAGACAACAUAUUGUAUUCAAUGCUCCAUGUGCAUAGUUCUGCAGGCACAAUGGGAAUUCCAUUUCUUCUCCUCCUCUAACCCCUGUACCACCCCCCCAAAAAAAUUCUCCAUAGGGUCUCUGCCAGAUGGGCAGGGUAUAAAUUAUAAAAUUAUGAUGAUUAUUAUUACUCCAAAUCUGAUUUGAGGGUGUGCCAGGGGCUGAAGGGGACAGGAGAGGAAAAGGAAGCUCUCUUGUAUCAGCAGAGCUGCAGCAGAGACCAACAGCUUAAUUUCUUCAACUGGAGGUUUAAUUUCCAUCUAGCAUGCAAAAGAUUCUCAGCUGGAAAACAUGGCUUCCUAUAGCCGCUCAGCUCGGCCAGGGCUUUUCUUCUCUUCCCAGGAUUAUCAUCCCUUUGAAAAGACAGUGAUGGCAGGCCAGAGUGUGCAAGGCAGCUAACCCCUCAAGGCCUGUGACCAAAAAAAAGUAAAAAUGGUGGUUUCACAGAGGCCUGCUCUGGAAUAACAGCCCAGUGAGCUCGAAGAAAUGAACCACUGACCUCGCAAAAGUGAUUUUGUCACAAUUUGGCCUUUGCAAGUAAGGGAAUCAGAAUUUGUUCUUUUUGCUCAGCUUCAUCUAUUACAGCCCCCACCCCCAAAGUAGAAAAAAGUGGGAGCUGUAGGAAUAACAUGUAAAAGCGAAUCAACUGAGCAAAACGAAGAGAAAACAGCAGUCAGUCGGGAACCAGCUGGGGCCUGGAAUGCCUCCAUUUAUGUCUGAAAGAAGGGCCUUUAUUUUCACAAAGGAAGUUGGCAUUUUCUAAAGGAACUUGGUGACUAAGUGUCCCGUCUCCCACUGAUUUUCAAUUAUUCUAGUUUUUCUAAGUCUGCAAAACAAUACCCAUUUAGGAAUCCCAGCUGAAAAUGCCCAGCAACUACUAUCUGGGGUUGUUAUUUUAACCAUUGGACCAAGGCAAAUAACCCUGUUAUGCUCUUCUGUUGUUGAGGGGCUCCCUCCCCAUCAAUUUAUGAGUUUUUAAAAUGGGCCAUUAAGAAAAGGAUGGAAAGUUCUAGAUGCUCCCAUUCAUGCAUCCACUGGCGUUUCAUAGGCAACAAUGGGUAAAAGGUAUAACAUAAAUUUGAAGGGAAUUGAAUAAGAUAAGACAGCAGUCGUGCUGAGCUCUGGAAGCUGGCCACUAUCCUACACACCCAGUCAUAUUUAUGCUGCAAAGCACAGGCGAUUUUGUAAAACAUGGUCUGGAAAAACAAACUUGGAACUCAACCCAUAAAUUCCUGUUCUAAGAUUGCAUAUACCAUCAACAAAUUCAAACAUUUAAGAAGAUGAAAAUACAUUGCACCAAUAAUUACUUCUCCCAUUUUCUCAUCAAAGAUCUGCUAAUAGGUCAAAAGAGAUAAGGAGGACAUUCAGGCCAUUUCCCACCUACUUUAUCAGACAGAAGUUGAUUGCAUGCAAAUGACUCAUAAGGUAAAGGUAAAGGUAACCCUGCCCAUACGGGCCAGUCUUGACAGACUCUAGGGUUGUGCGCUCAUCUCACUCUAGAGGCCAGGAGCCAGCACUGUCCGCUGACACUUCCGGAUCACGUGGCCAGCGUGACGAAGCUGCUCUGGCGAGCCAGCACCAGCGCAGCACACGGAAAUGCGGUUUACCUUCCCGCUAGUAAGCGGUCCCUAUUUAUCUACUUGCACCCGGGGGUGCUUUCGAACUGCUAGGUUGGCAGGCGCUGGGACCGAGCAAUGGGAGCGCAGCCCGCCGCGGGGAUUCGAACCGCCGACCAUGUGAUCGGCAAGUCCUAGGCGCUGAGGUUUUACCCACAGCGCCACCCGCGUCCCUGCAAAUGACUCAUAGACAGAAAUAAAAAAAACAGCAAAAAAAUGGGUGAAUCUUAUUAACCUGGCCAUCCAAACUCCUGUUCUCUUUCUUUCUCUGAAAAUCAACCAAGAGCAGUUGGUGUGGUGGGAUGGUGUCAUGGAACUGCCAUGCUGUCAUCAUUGUCACCGGCACUGAACCUAGAUGGUUCAGGGGUGGGGCAAGGUGGUGGGGGUCAGUGCCAUAGAGCUGCUCUACUGCCAUAGCAUCCAUGUAAGUGUCAGUGGCUCUGCUGCACUGCCCUGGCCGCUCUUGGGAUGAACUUGUACAAAACAGCCCAAUAUUUUCCUUUUGAUUUCCUGUUCGGCCACACUCUAGGUUAACAUUCUGUUUCUGUGGCCUGAGACACACUCCAUAGUUUGAAAUCUAAUUUGAAUAUGUUAUAUUUUUAAAAGUGAAUCCUGUCAAAAGAGCUGUUUGUUUACCGGAUGCAGUCAUGGCCUCUCAGCAUUUCUCCUCUGUUUGGAACCAAAUUAUGAGGUAAAUGAUGAGACGCCAGUUCACCUUGAGGAAAAACUAAUGGAUCUGACUUGGUAUGAAGACAGGAUUAGAUAUUCAAAUAUCUGCUUAGACAUCAACAUUAAAUUUGCAGACAACUGAUGACCAGCCAUUCAAUGUCUCAUUGAACCUUAACUGGCUCGCUUCAGACAGAAGUUGGGAAUCUUAGACCCAGGGGCCAAAUGUGGCCUUUUGGAGUUCACUAGUUGGCCCUCAAAACUCUCCCCAGGGCCCUUCCCUUUCCUCUCGCAUGCUCUCCCCCACUGCUUUUGCUGGGUUUCAAUGUGCCCUUGAAAUCUGAUAGUGCAUCAAUGGAGAAUGGAGAGAUGUUGGCUUGUGUUUGUGUAGAAAUCUCUGACUUUUCUGGCCAGAAUGUAGCCUACAGCGUUCAGUAUCACAUCCAUUGCUCCACCAGCUUUUUCCUCUGGCCUUGCCCACCCCUGGAGAGCUGAUCAUGAGGGAACGUGGCAUUUGGGCUGAAAGAAAUUCCACACCCCUCACUUAAGGAGUGCAAGCUUUCAUUGCUGUGAAUAAGGUUGCAGGUGAGGUACCCCUUGAAUGUGCCGUGUCUUGGUUGACACAAGAUGCUGACAUCUCUGCUGCAUGCUAGCUUGGAGUCUUAGUGACCAUGGCUCUCUCUUUGGUGGUUAGUGUGAAACUAGAUGUGACCACAUAUUUGAAUCACUUAGUCAUUGUUUUUAACUUAAUUAAUCAGCACUCUGAGAGGACAUGGAUCCAAGAACCCUAUUUCCCUUACUCUUUCACAGCCUUAUGUGUACACUGUGUCAGGGCAGUCAGUGGCAUCGACUUACAUGAUUAUCUUCAGCCCAGGUGAUAGCUAUGCACCUCACUCCACCCCCAGAUUACUGUAUUCAGUUAAACACUUCAGGCUAGAGUUUCCAAGCAAGGAAGGUGCUUACUAAUCCUGUUUAUCCAUUAAUGGGAUUAUGCAUACACUUCUGCAGUACAUUACAGCAUCGGGGUGAAGAAAGGGAUGUGCUUCUUUUAACUUUCCAUUCACACACUUUCAUCCUUAUGCUUUUCAAAGUACCUUCUAGGCUUCCUUUGCUUUUUCUUUCUCCUCCAGUUUAGAAGUUAGAAAUGUGAGGAGUCAGAGUACAUGCUUAAGGAAAUCUACUCUAUUUCCUCAUGAGCUUUCCUCUCCCCUUCCCCCUAAAUUUUAUUACAAGGUGUCUGGCUUGCUUUUUCAGAGUUGAGAAUUUCAGUGUAAGUAGCAUCACCCAAGAGAAUGACCUUGGCUAUAGAACUCACUCAUCUGGAGGGACCAUAACUCAGCAGCAGAGCUCAUGUGUUGCAUGCAAAUAGGCUCCAAUUCCUGGAUGAAGGGUAGUCUGUUCAAAAGACAAGCGGGCUCUCUAUGACAACCUAUGUGAACACUUUUCAGACUGUAAUCUAGAACAGGGGUAGGCAACCUAAGGCCAGUGGGCCGGAUGCGGCCCAAUCACCUUCUAAAUCCGGCCCGCGGAUGGUCCGGGAAUCAGCGUGUUUUUACAUGUGUCCUUUUAUUCAAAAUGCAUCUCUGGGUUAUUUGUGAGGCCUGCCUAGUGUUUCUACAUGUGUAGAAUGUGUGCUUUUAUUUAAAAUGCAUCUCUGAGUUAUUUGUGGGGCAUAGGAAUGCGUUCAUUUCCCCCCAAAAAAUAUAGUUCGGUCCCCCACAAGGUCUGAGGGACGGUGGACUGGCCCCCUGCUGAAAAAGGUUGCUGACCCCUGAUCUAGAAGGUGGUUCCUUGAAAGUUGAUCAAUGGAAGUUCCUUAAUGAGAGGAUCCCUGAUAUCCCUAGAGAUGCCAUGAGAAUCUGAGCCAAACUGAAGAAGGCCCAACUCUCAUACCCCACCCUCUGUUGCUGGCUACUUCAAGAGGGAAAAACAAUUUGGGGGCUAGGAUGGGUCAGGAGAUGGAGGCAGGAGCAGCACCUUUCAUGAUGAGAGAGGUCUGCUGAGCAUCCCCUCCUUCCUCUGUGUUUAGAAAAUGAAGAACACACAGGGAAGCUGGCAGCAUCUUUUAAAGGCCAGGGAUCAUGGAAGUAAAACCCCAUGAACCCCAGUCAGCAUCCCAAGUUACCUGCAGCUAACUCCCCACCCCUCACACACAGCCCAGAUAAUGUAUGAAAGGAUAAUCUAACUCUGACAUGAUGCUUUCCAGAUGUUGUUGGAGCCCAUCUCCCAUCUAUUUUGACCACUGGCCAUGAUGAUGGGAGUUGAAGACCAACAAUAUCUGGAAAACACCACAUGGGCCUCUCUUGUCCUGAUGAUUAGUUCUCACUGAGGGUACCAUUCUGAGCGCUUAGAAGGCAACCUAGCUUGCCAUUUGGAAUAGGCCACUGAGUCCACCCCUCAGCGAUUCUUGGCCUAGCCUCCACUGCCAUGUCCAGUGGCAGAGCAUGCUCUUCCUCAAUUCCAAAACUCAAAAAGCUUGUUCUAACCAACGGAUGGCUUUUCCACAGAGGACAAGUAUUCAAAGCAGGCCAUAAAAUUGUCAUGAGUUAUAAAUCAAUGAAAUUAGUACUGCAAAGCAUUUAAUCAAUAUUAAACUGACAAUAUCAGCAAUGCACAGAGCCAUAUUCUAUAUGCAGCUGCAUAUGCAGGGAUGCUAGCAGGGAAUCUACCUGUAGCCUUCAGCUGGUCUAAUACAACCAUUCAGGUUUUUUUUAAAAAAAUUACCCAAUUUCACCUGAGUUCUUUUAAGAACAGAAUCAAUAGGCACAUUGGAAUUUAAAUUAGAAUGUAAGCAGAUGUGGAGCUGGAGGUACCUAAAUUUGUCAACCGCAGCCUACUUGGGUACACACAGACUGUGUGUUUUAGCAUUAGAUAGGUUCACCAUGGUCUCGGUAUUGAUUCUAUUAACGCUGGUUUAUAGUUUUUACUGACUUGGUUGUCAUCCGUCAUGAAUGAAAUCUGUGACCGAAAGAAAGGAGGAGCACAUCUUUGCUUAAACUUUACAGCUUAUUCCCUUGGCAACUGAAAUCAGGUUCAGAAAAAUGCAAAUGGCAGUGUCCUGUUAUAUGGGUUCCCCCCAGCCCGCCGCCACCAGCUUAUAUGUCUAUUUAUCAUAUAGACAUGGGGCAGGCAGGGGGAGAGACUGCUUUUUUAAAAAUGAUUUCUACAUUGACAUAAAAGCUUAAAAGGUAAAGGACCCCUGGACAGUUAAGUCCAGUCAAAGGUGACUAAGGGGUGUGAAGCUCAUCUCACUUCAGGCUGCGGGAGCCGGCAUAUAAUGUUGGUUGGACCUUAUCAUAUUACGGAAUCAUUUUAACAGACCUUCAGCACUGACCAAGCCCCAGAUAGUCAUCAUACCUCAGAUAAAACUUGGGAAAUGCCACCAAGCCCAUGGAAAUUCACAAGCCACGGGGUAAAGGGUAAAGGGAGCUCCGCUUGGUUAUGACCAAGCAUAGUUAAGUUUUCCUAACCCAAAUGAUCUGCAACUUGUGCAAGUGUCUUCUAUAUGUCCUCGUGUGUGUGUGUGUGUGUGUGUGUGUGUGUGUGUGUGUGUAUACACACACAGAGACACAAUAUAUAUAUAUAUAUAUAUAUAUAUAUAUAUAUAUAUAUAUCUACAGUACAGUGGUACCUUGGGUUAAGUACUUAAUUCGUUCCGGGGGUCCGUUCUUAACCUGAAACUGUUCUUAACCUGAAGCACCACUUUAGCAAAGUUCUUAACCCGAGGUACUAUUUCAGGGUUAGCGGAGUCUGAAACCUGAAGCGUAUGUAUCCUGAAGCACAUGUAACCCGAGGUACCACUGUGUGUGUGUGUGUGUGUGUGUGUGUGUGUGUGUGUGUGUGUGAUCUCUCCUGGUCUCUGCUAGCCCACAAAAACACAAAAGCACAUUCUGUAUAAAUGCAGAAUCCCAUUUUACAAUUUGACCAGGCAAGGAAAUGGAUAUUUGACCCAUAAUAUAGUUGUCAUUCAAACCUAAGCAUAUUUAGUCAGAAGGAAGUCCCACUGAGUUCAAUGAGGAUUGCUCCCAGGGAAGUCCUUAUGUGUUUGCAGCCUUAAGUGUUAUGAGCGAGGCAAAUUCAUACUCUGGCACAGGUAAUUUCAAUAUUCAAAAUUGCUGCGAUGCUGUGCUUGUAGUAAUGUUUCAUGCCCCUGUGCACAGAUAUAAAUAUAAAUAGCAUGGAAGUAAGCGGGAAAGGAAUUUACAUAUGCACCACAUAGAUUUUCAUGUAGUUCAGAUUCUGUUUAUAGUCAAGCCUUCACAUGUUAUUGUCAGCUGAGGCCUUUCUCUGUGUGACACCUUCAAAGGACGUUUGCAGCAUGGCUAUAGGAGAGCAAGCCUUUUCUGUGGUGGCUCCCCACUUGCAGAAUACUCUCCACAAGGAGGCUCCCCUGGCACCUUAUCAUUUCUUUCAGCACCAGGCAAUAAAAUAAUAUCAUUUUUACUAGAGAUUUGACCCUUCAUUUGAAAGGUUUCAAGUACCUGUUGCUUCUUUUACUUGGGCAGGGUUUGUAAGAACUGUUAUUUAGGUUUUUAUUGGUUGUGUUGGUUGUAAUUAAUUUCAGUGUUUACAAUAUGUUUUUAAGUCACUUUCAGUGCCAGAUUUACGUAUAAGCUAAACAAGCUAUAGCUUAAGGCCCCACUCUCUUGGGGGGCCCCAAAAAACCUAAAGGGAAAAAAAUCUGGAUGUACAUUUCCAAAAUAUAAAAUAAAAAACAAAUAAAAUAAAACUUACACACAGCAAGUGUGUUUUGUUGUGUAAGUAAUGGGCCCCAGCUGCUAGCCUGCUCCCUAAAAUAUCACUGGUUUGCUCAUUUCUAUAUCAAUUACUCUGAUAAAAUACAUAUUAUGCUAUAUGCAAAUGGCUUUAGAUACCUAUUACUUCCAUAAAUUACCAUAUACCAUAUAUUCAACACAAAAAACAGUGACAAUUUGUUGUUGACAAAGGACAGCUGGACAUAUAAAGGGCCCCAUUACCUUCAGUAGCUUAGGGCCUUGUCAAACCUAAAUCCGGCCCUGGUCACUUUGGAUCACUUUUCUGAGGAAAGCGAUUAGUUGCCAUCAUUCAGGCAUAGAAUUUCUUCCAUGGGGAAGGAGAGAAUGAGGCCAUGGCACUGGUGUGCCCCCAAUGUCACAAGCGCAGCUAGCCCUGCCUUUGAUACACAUCCCCAAAGGGGAACAUCUGCCUGACUAGCUAACCUUGCUUAUGUCCUCCAUGUGUUUGGGAUCCCUGUGUACUUGGGGGGGGGGGGGUCCCAUUUCUGCAGAUGUCAUGGUGAACAAGCCUAUGUCAAAGUGCAAAGCCAUAGGGGAAGGUGACAUGAGGAACAAACAUGCAAUCUUCCUCCCCCUUUCUCAAAGUGUCAUUUCUAAAUAUGGAGACGGUAUGAAGAGGUCUGCAGGUGUAUGCUUAUGCGCAUCAGUAUAACUAUUCCAUGAUAAACAUUAACAUUUUUCUGAGAUCUGUAUAAACCAGGGAUCAGCAAACUUUUCCAGCAGGGGGCCGGUCCACUGUCCCUCAGACCUUGUGGGGGGCUGGACUAUAUUUUGAAAAAUAAAUACGACCGAAUUCCUAUGCCCCACAAAUAACCCAAAUAAAAGCACACAUUCUACUCAUGUAAAAACACGCCGAUUCCCAUACCAUCCGUGGGCUGGAUUUAGAAGGCGAUUGGGCUGCAUCCGGCCCAUGGGCCUUAGGUUGCCUACCCCUGGUAUAAACCCUUCACACUGUUAGUGCUUCCCUCCCUCCAGUUUCUCUAUAUUGCUUGAUUCUUAGGUUUAUACAUUUAUAGCAGCUAAAAUAUCUCCCUAAUAUCCCCAACACAAUGGCUGGGGAGGCAGAACAGAGCAUGAGCUUCAGCCAAAGAGGUGAAUGUGGAAAAGAGAACGUGCUCUCAACAUUCCACCUCAAGCUAAUGUUAUCAAAUUCACCAGAGGUAAAAUUCUCUUUUGAGUAAAACCUUGCCAUAAAUAUAUUUUAAACUCAGUUUCCUUUGUCUCCUCUCCUUUAUAUCUUUCCUCUUGUUCUUCCAGUGACUCUCAGGAUUUAUUUUUCUUUUAAAAAAGUAAAUGAAAUUAGAUGCCUUGUCUGCAGGUAAAGUUGUUGGUUAUUAUUAACUGCUGGCAAAUAUUCCUUCCUUAGAAUUGUGAUGAAAACAAAUUUAAGAACUAAACUUUAGCUCAGUGCACCUGAGGAAGAAAUCUAUGGCCUUUCCCAUGUUUAAGCUGCAAUUCUAUUCCUAUAUAGCUAGGACUAAGCCCCACUGAAAUCGAGAGGAACUACUUUUGAGAAGACAAGUACUGAGCUGCUGGGUAAAAUUGUCACAAAAUGUAAUGUGAUAAGACUUAAAAACAAGGCAUUUGUUUACCUUCUGAAGCAGGACCACACUCAGCUGACUGCUUGACCCUCUCCAGAUCUAAGCCCCUAACCCAGGCAUAGGCAAACUCUGGCCCUCCAGAUGUUUGGGACUGCAAUUCCCAUCAUCCUUGACCACUGGUCCUGUUAGCUAGGGAUGAUGGGAAUUGUAGUCCCAAACAUCUGGAGGGCCGGAGUUUGCCUAUGCCUGCCUUAACCUGUUACCAGCUGUCUUUGCUUUGGGAGGAUGGCAGUGGCUCUCCUCAAUGGCUGAAGUUUGGAGCUACAAUUUCAAGGUUGGGGUAGAAGGAAUAGGAUAUAAUAAGGUGCAUGCAUGUGAUGCUAAUUUGCAAGUGAGAGAGAACUCCCAGAAAAUAUGCGUUCAAUAUGCUCUAGGGUUGUACGAUUCUGUCAAUUAAUUUUUUGUUUUAGUUUCUCAUUUUUCCAAUCUCCACAUCAUUUUCAUUUUUGUUAAACAGUCCUCAUGAAAAUUCACCAGCAGUCCCCCAUCCAUUUACUCAUAUUUUGCAAUAGCUUUUCCAAACCAUUCCAAAUGGUGUGAACUGGCCAUACUCAGCUUCAUAAUAUCAUCACUUGUAAUUCUCUCAUUCCAUAGGAGAAACCUUCUUUUUUCCCCUCUGCCCUUUCUGUUUGGGCUUCUCUCCGCUUAGGAAACAUUUCUCUCCAAAAUGGUGCUGGGCUGCUUGUUGAUAUGAUGAAACUAUGCAAGAGGGACUGUGUGUGACAAGGAGAGGGAAGAAUGUUACACGUCUAUGCGUUCCAAAAUAGUCACUUUUAUUAUUCUAUGAAAUAUUCUUUUUGACUCUGCUUUUAAUUAGUGCCUGCAAUGCAAUUACUAAAAUAAUAAAUCUCAGCGUAGUUUUCCAGUUAACAGCAUUCACCUCCAUAAAAACAUAUGAAAGAAAUAACCUUGAGAGCUGCUGCGUUAUCCAGACAAACUCCUGAGCCUUUUUACAAAAUAAUAAUCAUGCGCUCUGUAAAUUAUUCACUUUCUUGAUGAGUUUCUCAAGAAUGUUUUUAAUAAGUGACUAAGAUGUUAACCUUUUGAGUUACAGAAGUCACAUUUCUUACUAUUUUUUAAGUUUUAUCAUUAUUAUUUUUUUAAAAAAACCUUUGCUAUAACUUGCUAUCACUAUCAUUUUGUUACUGAAUGAAAAAGAAAUUCAACCUUUUUAACAUUCCUGAAAACUAGAGAUGUUGUGAGAAAAGUCACUUUAUUUUAAGGAGAAUUGGGGCAAGUUUGUCUCACACCCAGACAUCCUAGGUACGACUGGCUCUGAAGGCAUGGAUUAUGUCAUCUAACUAGAUUGUCAUCCUCAAAAUUGUCCUGCUGUGGCCAUCCUUGAUGUUCUGCUGAGCUGCUUUGGAGAGUGGGGAGGUAGAUUCAUUUCCAUAAUUAACAGCCUCCUGCUUUCCCAUCCUUACUGAAAAUCCUCUUGAAAUACAUCUUGACAGGCUUACCUUCUGCCCACAUAGAAGCGUGGCUGGUAUAUCAUACAAGGGAAAUGGAAGCUAGGGUUGUACACAUUUCCCAUUCCUAUCUGUCAAAUGUUACACAAGCUUGGUUGGUAGAUCAUGGGACUCUUAAUCUCAGGAUUGUGGGUUCGAUCCCCACAUUGGGCCAAAGAUUCCUGCAUUGCAAGGGGUUGGACUUGAGGACCCUCACGGUCCCUUCCAACUCUACAAUUCUAUGAUUCUAAGUGAGAGCCAAAGUUUCGAUCCUUACAAAAAUGACUCUGCUCAAGCAAUGCUAUUCCCUGAAAAGACUGGGGUCAAUGAGUGCUAUGCUUGGAGGGCUGAGCUUUAGGAGUGUCACUGAGGGUUGGUCCCAGUAUGCCUUUUUUAAAUUAGGUAUGGGUAGGAGUAGUGAAAAUAUUGUUUUUCACAGAACUUGUGACUUGAGCACUGAGUCAUUUUCUGCCUGGGCAAUCCUUAUUGACCUCCAUUCUUCACAGAGCAGCCAGGGAUCCAGUCACUGUUCCUCAAGGUGAGAGAAUGAACAUCUAUUUUGUUUCCGUUUUUCUCUAAAUACUCUUGGCAGACGAAAUUUGCUUUAAAGGAUACAGUGAUAAAACUAGGGUCCAGAACAGUGUCUGGCAACACUGCUUAUUGUGUGUACAGCUCUGCCUAAUAACUUAUUUAGGUUUUCGUGAAUGUUUGGGGUUCAGGCUUCUUGGAAAACAGCUGCAGUUGUCUUUCCAGAUUCAACCCUUCAAGGACUAUCAGCCACAAUCCUCUAUGCUCAGCUAGGGAAAAGGACAGAUCCAUAUGCUGGUAUUUCUUUUUCCUUAGCUGACAAUGUGCUCCCCAUUGUCUGCCUUCAGGACUUUGGCCACCAUCUUUUGUUCUUUUCUGUGAUUAUUCAUCAGCACUAAAGCAAGCAGAAUGGUUUUCCCAUCCCCCUAAAAUUAGAUCUCAAGCAGAUAGACCAGAGUAUUUUUCUCUCAGAGUAUUUUCUCUCCAGCGGUCAUGUGACCAAUAUUUUAAAACGGACGUUUUAGUCAUAAUUUUGCAAGAUGUUUUGUCAUUAUGUUUUGGAAAAAAGUUGUGUUGUUAAAGGUCUGUAAAUUAAAAUAACAAUAAAAAUCCAAUAGAUUAGAUGUAGCAGCAGUGCUUUCUAGCAAGCUUAGAUAGGGUGUCGUUCCAGCACAUCACUGUUGGCCACAGCCAUCUUGAAUUGCCCCCCGCCCCGGUGACUGAUGGCUUCAACUUUGUUCCAGUAACUCACCCUCCAAAAUGCAUCACAGGUUUAACUUGAAAUAAAGCUGCUCAUCCAGUCCAUUUUCUAACCAUAAAACUGGCACAAAGCAGCCCCAUUCUGGGCCAAGCAAAGAGAAAUCUAUAACCUACUCUGAUAUGAUAAAAAGCAAGAUGCUGAAAGUCUUUCAGAAUGAGUUGAGCAUGAGAAUUUAAUGUGGUGAACACUUACUACACCAGGAGAUGGAUGAGGUCCAAGGGAAGUGGGAACUCGAGAAAGGUUGAUUCUUAAGCUGCACAACAAGAAGUUGAGAAUUGGUGGGUGAAUCAUAAGCACACUGGUUAAAAACAAAUACAGGGAAGAAACUUUUAGGUGAUGAGGCUUAAGUGUGAUUGGGUGUUGUAGGAGGAAUCAUCUGAGAAAAAUAAACUCACAGGCUCAUAGCCAGUGGCGACUAUCUGCUGAUAGAAGGAAAUUCAUCACCAGAAUGGGGGAGGCAGGUAAUUUUUCACAAUUAACCUCCUCAUGCAGCUAUCUGCUCCAGGGGGUCCCUGUAAGUGGAGGGAAAUUCAUGACAAUUGCCUCCUUCCCCAUUCUACUAACAGAUCCUCUUCCAUCAGCACAGAGUCCCCAUUGGACACUUCCCAUUGACUUCUAAUCAUGCAUCUCUAAAAAUAAAUACAUUGUUUUAUUGUUUAUUAUUAUGACUUAAUACAUUUAUAUUCUACCUUUUAAAGAAUUUGACCCAAUAAUAUUAAGUUUGGGGAAGUUUUUAAUGCUUGAUAUUUUAUUGUGUUUUUGAUAUUCUGUUGGGAGCCAUCCAGAAUGGCUGGGGAAACCCAGUCAAAUGGGUGGCAUACUACUACGACUACUACUACUAAGUUAAACAAAUGCACAAUGGUCCAAUAAAACACAUAAAGUCAGAAGAAAAUACUCAUAUAUAAACCAAUUAAAAAUCAACAAUAGAACAAAGUAGCCAACUCAAAAUAACUAUGAUAUAGUAAAGGCAAUCAGUAGGAAACACAAAUUGAGCCCAGUGGUAAUAGAAGUAGCAUUUAUUAAUUCAUGAAUAAUCACCUUUUACAAUUAUUAAUAACAAUACAUUUUAUAAAAAAUUAUUACCUGCCCUUCAUCAGCAGGUCCCAGAGCAGCUUACAACAACUUAACAUUCAAAAUUAAAAAGAAUCACAGGAAUAGGGCGGGCUCAUUUGAUUUAAGAUAUGCCUCAAGGCAACUUACAGUUAUAUCAUAAAAACAGUUGAAAAAUAUUUUAAAACAGUACAAAACCCCCUCUAAUAAUAGGUUUUAAAACAGUACAAAAUGAACACCUAAGGCAAAGACCUUUUCAUCCAGCUGGAAAAGCUUCUUGAAACAAAAGUGUCUUCAUUUUCUUUCUGGAAAGUUCAGAUAGUUGACCCUUGUCACGUCUGAACAGUAGAAGCAGCAGUCAGCAUAGGCUACAUUUCCCAGAAUAUAUUUGAAGACUUCUCCCUUGAUCACAUACGUUGUAUUUAUAAAGCAACAAGCAAAGUGCAAGAGAAUCCUGUUGAUUCUUCAAAUGAGCUAAAAACAAAGUUGAAAUGGUUCCCGUGUUGAUGAUGCCUGCAGGCAAGUCUGAAAAAUUCUGAAAGAAAGAAGCCUGUGGGGUGUCAAAUAAAAUACUGCUUUGCCUUCUGCGUUAAACAUCCAAUCAGUUGCAUUGUGUUCUAGCAUAUUUUUACAGGCAGAAGCUAAAUAAUGGAAUAGGCUGAUUACUCACUUCAGAUGCCCAAAAUAUAUAUACUGCAGAAGCAGCUGAUAAUGGCAUGUUCAACAGGUCAACAGAAAGCGUGUACAUCCCCUUGCUAUAGCCAUCAACUUCAUUUUCUGCAAUUUGGUAUUGGUGUGCAAGGCUAACACAACUAAAAAAAGGACAUUCCUAGAAUGCUUCUUUUAACAAAGAAUUUAGUGACAUGGAUGCUAUGUGGGGAACAUGGCUAAGAAUGCAAUCUCUCCAUUGGUAUAUGGAAAUAUUUCUAGAAAAUGGGCAUCUAGUUCAUAUAGAUAUUAAUAAAAUAAAUAACAAUAGUUCAUCACUGCUGGAAACAGUCAUAUUGUCAGGGAUUGGUCCAAGGAGGAAUGGUGGAGUCCGUCCCUUCCUCCUCCUGCACUUCCCAGAGAAAAGGGAGACUGUAUAGAUUUACAACAGUGGUUUGCAGAAGGCCAUAGUUCAGAGUCUGCAGAAGGGAGAAGCUGGGAAAUAUUGGGAGAGGAGCAGCAGGACAAAGAAGCACAGGGGGCGGGGACAGCUGCUAGACUCAGUGUCUUUAGAAAGCAUUCCUGACUCCACCCUCUCUACCAGGUCCCGACGGACAUUGAGAGUGGCAGAACAGAAAGCUUAGAGGCAGAAAACACAGAUCAGCUGACGCAGGAAUGACAUAGAAUUGGAGCGACGAAGUGGAUGGGACUUUACGCAGAGCAAUGCCAUUAUUGCAACAGAGAGGCACUUUUCAAAGCCUAUCUCUGUGAAUAUUGAAUAAAGGACUUGAUAAGAACUCUUUUGUUUAUCUGCUUCUUGGCUGCCCACCGUGGGAGGGAUCAGAUUCCCUGAAGCCUAUAUGCCUUUUCCAGAUCUAACCAAUAUUCUUUUGCAACAGCACAUUUCUUUCUCUCUCUCUCUCUCUCUCUCUCUCUCUCUCUCUCUCUCCACCCAUUGGAAUCCUUCAGUAGCCACUGUAACUUUCGAAAUAGGACUUAACCAAGGAGAAACGGGGAGAGUGAACCAAAAAUCCCUUCAAUCUUCAAGAUGCAUGAGUACCUGUACCAUUUCCCUCAUUCUAUUUUGUCAUGUCCCAUGGCAAUUGUGCCAUCUGCCCUACUUCGGCGACAGUUACAAAAGUAUGGCAUGCACAUCUUCAUCUGGAAAAGCGAAAGUAUAGCAGCCUGAUGGAAUACUUGCUAUAGCAUUAGUAGCCUGCUCACUAAGCUUGUAAUCAGAAAUGCUAGGAAAUGUCUUCCCAAUAGGGAGUUUGUGAGAUUUCCCAUGCAGUUUAGCUGGUUUUCAUCCCUUUCUUAUCCUACCAGCUGCACACUGCUUACUCCACUCUAGUAGUCUUGCUUUCAGACCCAGGUUCCCAGGAAUGAAGAUUUGAUGAAUCAAGGAAUUGAUAAAAUGAUAUAUUUAUUAAUAUGAUGAAAAGACCUUGUGCUAAUCAAAUAAAACAAGUGUGGUAUAAUACAGGUAUAGUCUGUAUAGGUAGGCAGGAAUACUCCUGCCUGCCUCUGAAAGCCAAACUCUUAUCAUUCAUGUAGUUGUGAUGGUAGGCCAGGUAAAGGUCUUUACUUACAAGGUAAAGGUAAAGGUAAAGGAUCCCUGGAUGGUUAAGUCCAGUCAAAGGUGACUAUGGAGUUGCGGCACUCAUCUCGCUUUUAGGCCAAGGGAGCUGGUGUUUGUCCACAGACAGCUUUCUGGGUCAUGUGGCCAGCAUAACUAAACCGCUUCUGGCACAAUGGGACACUGUGACAGAAGCCAGAGUACAUGGAAACUCCAUUUACCUUCCCACUGCAGCGGUACCUAUUUAUCUAAUUGCACUGGUGUGCUUUCAAGCUGUGAGGCUGAUGGGAGCUGGGACAGAGCAGCAGGAGCUCACCCUGUCAUGGGGAUUCAAACCCCAACCUUCUGAUCGGCAAGCCCAAGAGGCUCAGUAGUUUAGACCACAGCACCACCCUAAAGGAACGUCAUGGGAGUGUGGCGUCACCUGUGCCAGCUACCACCACUGUUCAGCAUAUGUCACAUGCCAGGUCAUAAAAGCAAAAGAGCGAGGUGCUCCUCUUGACAGUCAAUAAUAGGUGGAGGUUGGUGAUGUACGUUUCACCCACCUUGGGGUGUUGCGCAUGUUAAAAUCCACAUACAAGUCUGCACUUAAUGCCACAAGGCAACAGCCAGAUUCAACCAAAGGCAGUUGAAGUAAGAGCAGUGUAAGAGCAGAAUUAAUAUUCUGCCCUUCAUCUGAAUAUCACAAGGCAGUUUACAAUAUCCUACUCAGUCCCACAUGGCGACUGGCAAAAAUCCACAAUGCUCAAAGGGUGGGAGGGUGUGAUGCUGAAAAGAGAUAAAAAAGAAAUGCUUGGGAGUGGGAAUGCCAUUUUUAGAUCAGAUCUCUCAAGCCUAACAAGAGACCACAUGGGGAAUUUCUCAUUCUUCACUCCUUUCCUUAAAGGAGAAAGACUUUUGUGAGCCUUCCUUCUUUAAGGGGUGGGGAAAGUUCACCUGCAACUCUUGGCCAGGAAUGACAGUGUGCCAGGCAGAACUGAAAAGGAAGCUUCCGGAACACUUCUGGCAAACAAACAAGUUUGUGACAUGGAAAGUGCCUGAAGAGCAAGGAGUUAAGAAUAUAUUGGAGCCAAACAGGAGGAGAAGUUAAAGUAAUAGAAGAGAAAUUGUCUGAAAUGAUUUGUCCAUUAAUCCAAGGCUGUCAUGGGAGUCCAGAUAAAUAAUGUGUUUAGUUUCAGCUAUUUCCCUAGGUCAGUUAUCUUGUAAUCCUUCUUGUUCAAGGGCAUGUAGGGAGAAGGCAGCAAGGUCAUGGAAGCCAUGAUUAUGUGAAAUGAAGUGGAAAACCAGACAUCUUUUUGGAGGGCUUCUGAUUUUGUUACCAAGGCACCUGCCAGUUUCUACGGUGAAAUGCACAGCUACAGGGAAGAAACCGGAAGAUCCAUCAGUUGAGGGGGUAGACGGGGACCUCCUGCCCAGGAGAGGAAAAGAGUGAGUAAUAUUUGGCAGCUGUCUACAUAGUAGUUGCACACCACCUAAUUAAACCAUGCAGCUCAGUUUAAAACUAAACUAAUCUGAUGGGUUUUUGUUGCUGUUGUAAAUGAACAAAUAAGCAACGUAUACAUGUGAUCUUUAAGAACUAAGAAGUUCCAGGACAAUGGAAUACACAAUGAGUCUAUCCAAAUUCUCCUGAACAACUUGACCAAAGAGACUGUCUUGAAAACUGAGAAGGGGGAGAAAAAAGAAUGCAUUUCAGAGUCCAUAGCCUUAGAGAGAACCCUCCCCAACUCCAGCAGCCACCUGCAGAAACCAGAACUGUGCCUCUGUUUCAGGAAGAAAGCAGAGCUUUUAUGAUGGCAGUAGCCAUUAAACCAAACCAAAACUCGGACAACCUCUUUGUAUGAUUGGGAAUUCAUACGUUUCCCCCAUGUCCCCAUCCCAACUGUCACUAUGUUGUGCAAAACUUCUCUAUGUAUGGCCCUGUACACAAUUUAGAGCUGAGAAUUUUAAGGGCAGAACUAAGCAUAUGUCCCCCCCCCCCAGCCCUUUUCACCAUUCAUGCUGACCAGUGGCAGAUCUACAUUUGGGGGGCCCUGAAACUUGAACGGUUGUGGGGGCCCUUUCACAACCAGCAAUGAGGUCUGGGUAAUGACGGUUAUCUUCUUCAAUGGAGUUGUUCCAUGACAGAGCAUCAUACCUUCACAACAUCUGUACUACUGACCAGUGCUUUUUUCCCCUGGGGGUAUGCAUACCCCUAAACAUUUUGCGAAUCUAAGUUUGGCUUCAUUGAGGAGCAGUAUUUCAAUAUGAGUAGGGAAAUGAGAGUACCCCCCCUUUUAUUUUUAGGAAAAAAGCACGGCUGCUGACUAUUAAACUUCAGGAGUGUUCAAAUAUAUACAACAAAAAAUUUGUCAAUUUGAGUCGCGCCACACAAAUUGGGUCUACUGGAUGCCAAAAUUAUAAGCAGUGUUGGCUAAAGUUGCUUCUGGGCCCCUGAAGCUUAAGCUUCAUUACUUUUAUGGUAGAUCUGCCCCUUCUGCUGACUUCAUAUGAUUAACAGGUAGAGUAGCCCUAUUUCAAAAAGUAAAAACCAAGAAACCACUGAAGUUGUUGAGCUUUUAGUCCAGCACCCUGUUCUUACAGUGGCCAACCUGGUGCUUAUGUUGAGCCUGUAAGCUGGAGAUAUCCCCAGCGACAGAGUGAGCUCCCAUUUCUCUGUUCCAGCUCCUGCCAACCUAGCAGUUUGAAAGCACGCCAGUGCAAGUAGAUAAAUAGGUACCACUAUGGCAGGAAGGUAAAUGGCGUUUAUGUGCACUCUGGUUUCCAUCAUGGUGUUCCGUUGUGCCAGAAGCAGUUUAGUCAUGCUGGCCACAUGACCCCGAAAGCUGUCUGUGGACAAAUGGCGGCUCCCUCAGCCUGAAAGCGAGAUGAGUGCUACAACCCCAUAGUCGCCUUUGACUGUAUUUAACCAUCCAGGGGUCCUUUACCUUUACCUUUUACCUAAGCUGGAGGUGGGCACAACAGCCCACCUGCAGCUUCCAGAAACUGGUAUUCAGGUGAUUACUGCCUCUGACAGUGGAGGUAGAACACAGCCAUCAUGUCUAGUAGCUGUUAAUAGACUUGUCCUCCUUGAAAUUGUUCAUCCAUAUAGCCAUCCCUAUGGAAUGCAGAAUCCAUGAAGUCCACAGGCAAAACUGCUCAUCCUUGCAUGAGCACUAUACUGUUUUGAUAGAGAUGUGCUUUCUGAAACUUUAGGGGUAGCACUUGCUCGAAUGUAAGGAGCACCCACAAGGGAACAUCUUUUCACAAUUUACUUCACAUGCUAUAGUAUUUGUGAAGCGGAGGUCAGGUUGGUUCUGAAGAAGUUACUUUGGCUUCUUGCUAAUCACUGACUGCCUUCAGCAGAAUUAUAGCCAUUCCAUCAUGACAGUAAAUGUCUCUGUCUAUAAUUUAUAUCCUUGAAUUAUUUAUUCCCAAUUACUUCUCCCUUUCUUUUUUGGUUUAAACCCAGCCAAUAUAUUAAAAGAAUUAAUUAAACAAAAUUCCAUGUCCAGGCCUUUGAUGAACAUUCCAAGAAGGCAGGCAGCUCUUCAAGAUCAGGGGUGGAGGAUGUUUCUCAGGUGGAAUCUACACGCAUAUAAAAACUAUUCUGAAAAUGCUUUUUUUAAAAAGCUUUUUUAAAAAAUACAUUGAAUUUUCCAUAAGGCUCACCAUCGCCAUCUGGUGUCACAUUGUGAAUUGUACUUAAAACACACUUAAAAUGCUUUAUUUGCAGCUGUAUAGCUGAGUCCUCAGUCUGAGGGCCCCAUUCUCUCAUAAGCAGUCUUCUGUCUAUUUCCUCCAAAUAGUUAAAGGAGGCACACAGACCUCAUUCCCCCCUUCUCACAACAACCCUGUUAGGUUGGGCUGAGAGACUGGCCCAAGGUCACCUAGUGAGUUUCAUGCAUUUGUUUUGAAUGCACAUUGCUGUGGAAACAUGGGGUGUGUGUGUAAAUAUAUAAAAAGAUAAAAAUAAAAAAAUUGUCCAGUAGCACCUUAGAGACCAACUAAGUUUGUUCUUGUUAUGAGCUUUCGUGUGCAUGCCCACUUCUUCAGAUACACUGUUUCAUACCAAGAAAGCUCAUUCCAAGAACAAACUUAGUUGGUCUCUAAGGUGCUACUGGACAAUUUUUAUUUUUUUAUCUUUUUAUAUAUUUCUACUGCAUCAGACCAACAUGGCUACUUACCUGGAUCUAGAACCAUGGGAUGUGUGUGAGAGAGAAAGAGGUGGCAGCAUGAACAUGUCCUCAUUGCACACACAGUGAGCAAGAUGACAGAGUCCUUGGAGGAUAUCUUGAAUAUCCCUUUCCAAUUAGCUUUUUUUGCUGCUGAUUCUCUGUAAUGUUAACCAGUACUGCAGCCUCCAAGAUUCUUUUAUAACCCUUUUCUCUCUUGCAGGUUUCAUUAUACACUCUGUCUUCUCUAUAAAUGUAUAUGUGGCAGUGUGUUCAUUUGAUUGUAUAUGCAACGGACACCAGCUUGCAUUGCCUUCCACUUAAUUAGAUCAAGGGUUAUUUAGAUAUUCCAUUUAAUUUGAUCAAACCCUUUCUGGAGCCAAAUUAUUUGUCUGAGAAGGGGCAGCACAACUUGUUCCUUUUACUUUGAUCAAUCUUGAUCACUUUAAGCACUUGCUUGAGGAGAAUUCAAUCACUGGCUUGGGGCAUUUUCCAUUCAAUUAAUAAUAAGAAGAACAACAUUCUGAAAGAGGAAGGAAAGUGCUCUGGAUAUGUGCAUGGAAAUGUUUUGCAGGCAUUAUUUUUGCAGAUAUAUCUGGUUUUCUCUACUGGGGGAAAUGGAAACAUUGCAGCUGGAAGCAGGAUCCAUUUCUAUUUGCAUUAUCUGUAAGCUGUUGCAUUUUUUUUCUGGCAGCAGUUACAUGGAUAAUUCAGUCAUCAAAGUGAGAAAUAAUGGAGUCAAAAUAAAUAGAAGUGGACGUGUGUGUGUGUGUGUGUGUGUGUGUGUACAUUUAUCUUAUGUACCUUUUAAUGUAUCUUUCAAGUGCCAUUUAUCUUAGUGGGUGAUUUAAGAUUUAAGUGGAAUGAGAAUUACCUGCCAAAAUAUUAUUUAUUCUUAUUUAUUUAUUCAGUUUAUAUACCACCCUUUAUCAAAAGAUCCCAGGGUGGUGUACAACACCAAGAAGGCAUUACGGAGCAUCAAUAAUAAAAGCAUAAUAAAAAGCCUAAUAACAGACAACAUAAUAAUAAAAUAAUCAUCAUAAUAACAGCUCUUCCCCCACCCUGCUUUAACAGCUUAUGGUGGGCCAGGAUUGGUGUUUUAUGCUCAAAUUGUCUUGUCUGGUGAGCAAUUUGCCCACUGAAUUUUACACCAGCUGAAGUUUCUGAACUGUCUUUGGAGGCAGUCCCACGUAUAACGCAUUGCAGUAAUCCAACCUAGAGGUUACCAGAGCAAGUUAGGCACAAGUUCUAAAAGUUCUGUAGCAGUUUUUAUAAUGACCAGCUGGAACAGUUGAGAAACUGGAGAAGCCAGCUAAAUGGAGAUGAUAUUAUCAGCAGAGCUGUUAGAACAGCUCUGCUUCCCAUUCCCCCCUCUGUUGCAGAAUGGCUGUUGCCAGGUUGACAAAGGGUGGCUCUUGAUGGAACCGAGGUGUCAGUGGAGCCAAUGGAGUGGCCUUGCUUCCACUCUCUCCCUCUGCUGCAGCCAUAGGCUUAAGCAAUGCCAGUCAUCAUUGCUAGUUCGGGGACAUACCAGCCUACAGUCUACAUGGCUGAUGAGAAGAAUGAUCAGUAUUCCUGUGUUUCUCUGGAGUUUUACAAAGAUCUCUCUAUCUUCAACCACAUGGUCUUAUUCAUCAAUUUUUUAUUUGUGUUGUGAAGUUUCUUUCUGUCUUUCCGUCUUUCUGUAUUUCUUUCUUUCAUUCAUUCAUUCUGCCAUCUAGAUACUGAUUUUGCUUUAUUCAGAAGGUGAAAGAAAAUAACUUCGCCUUGUGAAUAAAUGGUAAAAUCUUUCUAUGUUCCUAAAGUGCUUUUGCUUUCCAUGUGCUGAGCGCUCCAAACACUUCAGCAAAGUGGUUGUGUCGAUAUAUCCUUAUGUAAUAGAGAGUAAGAGGAUUUUCAAAAGUAGACUUUAAAAAAUCCAUCUAUAUGUGGGGUGGGGCGGCUAUCCAGUGACAAGUGAGAUCGAGAUUCUCAAAUGAAACAGUAAGAUGUAUGAGGAACACAUUUUUCUUUUAGGUUCAUUAGUCAAUAGCAGCAAAGUCCACUGACUUUACUUGGAAAAGAUAGUUGCUGGGAACAUUUGAACACAAGAGGGGAUUUCUCAAAAAUGGACAUCUAGAAAAUAAGUUACCCCCCCCAUUUUCUUGUUGUUAUUAUAUAUAUUCUGGUUUUAUACCUGUUUUAUACCUGAAGGAGCAUCUCCACCCCCCAUCGUUCAGCCCAGACACUGAGGUCCAGCUCCCCGGGCCUUCUGGCGGUUCCCUCACUGCGAGAAGUGACGCUACAGGGAACCAGGCAGAGGGCCUUCUCGGUAGUGGCGCCUGCCCUGUGGAAUGCCCUCCCUUCAGAUGUGAAGGAAAUAAGCAGCUAUCCUAUCUUUUAAAGACAUCUGAAGGCAGCCCUGUUUAGGGAAGUUUUUAAUGUUUUAUGUUUUAUCGCAUUAUUAUUAUUAUUAUUAUUAUUAUUCUCUCACUUUGGUUUCCUCUGUGUUCCAGCAUACACAACAGAUGUAGUGAGCUGAGCCAAUCCUCCCCUCCAGUGAUAUCUGCUGCUUUUCUUUAUACUAGCACAGUGCCUCCAAGAGCAUUCGCUUAGAGUAGGUGCUGCCAUGACAUUCCUCUUCUGACCUGCCUAUCACUGUAUCUGAGCUGUCGGAUGAUAGGCUCAGCCAGGGGCAAACGAAGGCGUCAUGACACCCGGGGCGGGGCGUCGCUAUGUAGGGCACAUGUGCGGCAUCGCUACAUACGACGCAUGCACUGUAUGUCGCAAUGCCACACAUGCACUGUACAUAGCAGUUUGCCGCCGCUGCCGCUCCAGUGCCAUAUGGACAGUGCCGGGAUCCUCUGCUCAUGGCUGCAGCUGUGAAUGGAGGAUCAGGAUCCUCUACAUGUGGCUGUAGCGGCAACGGAGGAAUCCCACUGCCGUCCGUAUGGUGCUCAAGCGGUGCCAGCAGCAAACCGCUAUGUACAGUGCAUGUGCAGCGUCGUUACGUACAGUGCAUGUGUGUGACGCCACACAUGCGCUGUACAUAGCAGUUUGCCAUCGCACCGGGAUCCUCUGUUUGUGGCUGCAGCCGUGAAUGAAGGAUCCUCCACUUGCGGCUGCGCGAUGGCUGCUUGCGCUGCCACAGCGGGGCGAGCCUUCUUGUCACCCCCCCCAGACAUGGCACCUGGGGCGCACUGCCCCCCUCACCCCCCCCCCCGUUGUGACGCCACUGGGUUCAGCACCACUGGCUUGCCUUCACCUUCCCUCCCACAAACAAACAAGGAUCACCUGGCGAUCCACACCUUCGUACAGGAGUGGGCUAAUUUCAGUGUUCCAUGAGUUGCAUUUUUCUUUUCACACCCUGUAAUCCACUGGUACAUUUAAGAUUUACAAAGCAGGAGUUAAUAUUCAAGGUCUCUUAACAGUUAAUACAAGCCUAAGUGAUCUUGAGUAUCACUUAGUACUGUUGCUUAAGAACGUAAGGAAUGCCUUGCAAAAUCCAAUCAAGUUUCACCUGACCUAUUAUUAUUUGAAAGAUUCCCAAUAACCAUUAGGUGGUAGGUGAUUCACUGGAAGUUGACCAGUGGUCUUCCGGUGGGACUAUAGUCUAUUUCUGUCCACCCCUGCUGAAAUUCUAUCACCUGUCAUCACUUUGAAAAGCACUGUCCACACAGGCUGUUGUAUUAAGAAUCUCCCUCCAACCUGCAUCUAUGUGCCUCAAACUGUUCAGGCGUCUUCUCUAAAUGACACCAUUGUCAGAAGUUUAUUGUGAAUUUCCAGUUACUAUAGCAACACUAUAAACAUUUGUAAAUCUCUUCACUUUUAGCCCAUAUAUUUUAUUUUAGGUCACAAAACAGAUGUACACACGCUACACAUUAUCCCCCCUCCCAUUUAUUUUCCCCUAACACUCUAGCCAUUGGGGAAAUUAUUGGUUGAAGAACCAGGUAGUAGGCUGACAGCUUAGAGUAAUGGACAUUCUGCUUUGCAAAUAAUCAAUGGAACAUUUGAUUGAAUAAGUCCUCCAUUUGUCUUAAAAUAUUUUUUUAUGUUAAUAUAACACUUCGAAUAGAAUUGGGUUCCUUCCCCCUCACAGUUUUAGUCCCACAUUACAAGUGUUAAUUAAAUUACUCUCUGUCCAACUCCACUGAAGUCUAUUUAAGGCUCCCCAUUGACUAAAUGGAUUAUUCCCUACGGCAAACAGCAUUCUGUGAAAUGCCACAGCAAUUAUGAAAUAAAGGGUUCCUCCACAAACCUUUGAGAAGGAAUAGUCUAAAUCCCUCAGCUCAGAAGGCGGGGGGAUCACAGAAGCUUUGCCAAAUCCCUUAGGGAGUAGCAAUCUGAUUUUCAAGGCAGUGGGGAAAUACUGGACAAGUUUUGCCAACAUCCUGUCAGGUAAAUACUGACACUCAUCUUGCUCAGUGUCAGGAACAUGGCGGCAGAACCCAACCCUAGCCACACUAGAGCUCACCCCAAGAAUGAGAUCCAAAGCAAGUCCUUACAGCCUGGAGUUCCCAAACAACUCCUGCAGUCUUUGUAAAAAAGACCAUCCCACAAAUUAAUUUGGAUAACCAUAGUCAGGUCCAGUCAGCUGAGGCACUUAAAAAAUAAGGCCAGAUAAUCCUGCAGCCUCAGGCUGGAGCAAAAUAUAAUAUUGUGCUGCUCCAAGUGGCUGUGCAGUGUGAUCCGAAAGUCCAACCCUGAAUCUUUUGCAGAAACAGUAUAAAGCAUGCUAGAAGACACUGCUUGUGUCUAAAUGCCUUGUGAUCUACCAGAAUACUGAAAUGGGUUCUGGGGUGUAUCUUUCAGAUUGUGUACAUACAAUAUGGAUGCACCACUGGCAUCCAUACAAACACUGUUGCUCCAGGUGGCCAUUUGGGAUCCUUGUGCCCCCAACAGUAACUAGACACAUAGAACAAAAAUGCUAUCUCAGCAUCUAACAGGCCAAGAAACAUGGCGACAAUUUUGAAGGUUAUAGAUUCAAGUGUCAUACUGAGAGUGUGCUACACCCCUAAAUAAAUAAAUAAAUAAAUAAAUAAAUAAAUAAAUAAAUAGAUGGUGAUAGGUAGAUAGAUAGAUAGAUGCUCCUCCUGUGCAGACUGUUACAUGGGUUUGAUAUAUAUCAGAUGCCCCAUAUGGAUGCACUCUAGAAGAGCAUUACAAACAACCUAACAAUAACAGAUGACCUGCUCCACAGGGCUGAAAGUCAAAGUAAUCAAGUUACUUUAGGUCACUUUAUUCUAUGGCCUUUUAAAUGUGUUUGUGGGAUGGGGAUUAUUGGGAAGUUAUUGGUUUUAGUAUGUGUUUUGUGUUCUCAUUUUGUAUUUUUAUGUUGUGACUCACCCUGUGAUCUUCAGAUGAAGGGUGGUAUACACAUUUAGAUAAUAACAACAGCAGCAGCAAUAUAUUGUGAAGAAACUAGUGUGUCCUAACUGACCUAACAAAGCUCUUGGAAGGACUUGAGAAUCUCAGCUAAGUUCAGCACAUGGUGGUAAAUGCAUCCGAUACAACCCAACAAGAAGUCCCUAGAAAUCCAAAUUCACCAGGCUUUCUCUCCUAUGGUCACAUUGUGAUAUGGCUAUGCGAAACAGCAGUGCAGCUCCACUCAAUUUCACAGAGCAUAAAACAUGUCUCUGCAGUUCCUUAUAUCUGAAUUUUGUGUCUCGCAGCCCCUAACAUGGGCACUGACAUUCAGACAAACUAGUGAGAGUUGCAUGGACAUCAAAGUUAUAUUCCUGCACAAUUCCUUUUUGUUUCAAUGGGGCUCUUGCAGGAAAUUAUCUGUCGGUUGUGCCCAGAGUUUAUGAAAACCACCUGUUCCAUACAGAUUGCUUUGAAUACAGCAGGAUAGUUGCAGUUUGUGCUGGGGGGGGGGGGAGAUGAAUACAAAUUCACCGCUCAACACAUUUAUUCAGUGCAAUAAACCAAUUUCUCUGUGCUCACUCAAAGACCUGGCAACUUAAGCUGAUUAUGGGAGCUCACAUUGAUUGGCCCUGAGUUUGCAAGAAAGUACAAAAUUGGCAAUUUUAUGAGGUAGUAGUUUCAAUCUCCAGAGUACCACCCAGAAUGCAUUUAAAUAUCUUGCAAAAUAGAAUAGCUUUUGAACAAAACAAAGCAAAACAAAAAUACCCACCCCUAGAUCUGCUUAUUAUUUAGUUGAUACAUAUAUUCAGCAGAUUACAUUUUGCAGUGCAUAAUUCAAUCAGCAGCUGCAAAAUAGCCUCUCGUUCUCCCACCAAAUAAGUCGGUGUGACUAUCAGUCACCAGCCAACACUAGCAUCCCUUAUGAAACAAUACAAAAUCUACUCAAUGCACUUUUUGUUCUCUUCCUCUGCUUUUCAUUGUGUGUAGCAAAUAUUUUUUUCAGGGGCAAGAGUCCUUCACUGAGGGUACACCCAUGCUUUUCAUACAGGAUUUUUCAUUUCAUUGGUUAUACUAGGCCCAAUGAAUGGUCUGGAAACACCUGAUCCUGCAGCAUUUCUGGAGCUAAAUAGUCAUGGAACUGGUCAGUCCCUUGGGUGGGUGACUCCUGAGAGUAGAAAUACAUAUCUAGGAAAGCUGUGGGUUCCCAUCCUUUGCAUUUUCCUUAAUCACACCACCCUGGAACAAAAUGCACUCUUUCCACAAUGCAAGUGACUUUUAGAUUGCCAGGAUUAACUUAAUCACGUCCUUUCCCCCAAGAGCUCAGGGUGAAUUCUCCCCCAGCAGUAAGGUAGGCUAGGCAUAGUGACUAGUCCAAGGUCACAUGGGGUUGAGUGGGAGAUUUGAACCAUGAUCUCCCUCCUCUGAGGUUGACAUUCUGGCCACUAUACCUCACUGAUUCAAUGGGUGUGUAGCAUGAAGACUGACUGUUCAACAGGGAUGGAAUACAACUCCCAUCAUCCAUAAACAUUGUCCGUGCUGGCUGGGACUGAUGGCAGUUGGAGUUCAGCAACAUCUGGAGAGCCACAAGCUCCCCACCCCUGCUGUACAACCUGCUUUAUCUGCCAGCUACAGGCGCUUCACUGAUGCUUUAAGUUGUUUAUGGCAAGAAUUUCAAGUUAUUACAUUCCUGAUUACUUACCAGUCAGUCUUGAAGAGAAUACAUGCAGUCUUCAUAAACACUUUUAUGAGCAAUCCAGUAUUAUGAAACAAUAGUUUUACAUAGCUUUUGAACAGAUUAUUAUUAAGUGAUGUUUCUGUAUAUAUUGUCACAAAUCUCAUAUUAGAAGCAAGCAGCAGGAUGCAAAAUCCAGCACAAACAAUUAUACUUUUGGCACCCACACAUACAUAACUCAUUUCCUUCUGAUCUUCUUUUGUCAGAGAUUAUUCAUUUUGCUUAACACAGUGUAGCACAACAUCAUGCCAUGUUUUGAUUUCAUCUGAGAUCUUCAAAAGAAUAUAAUAUCAGACGGUGUUUAAGCUUUCACAUAAAGUUUUGUAUUAGUCUUCCCAACUGUUGUCUCCUAUCAGCUGCUUAGAACAGAAUCUGAAAUUUUGACAACUGACAGAUGGCAUGUUUAGUACAAAGGUUGCUAGAGAGUAGCUGAACAAGAGAACUGCAGAUAAAAGAUUACAAUGGCCACCAUCUCCUUCCCUCUCGAUGAUAAAUGAUAGUCAUGCUCAAAAUAGACCAACUGGGUCAUAUCCAAUGCUGCUCUUCCGCUGGUGCAGCAGAAUUCCUCUCGUGCAAUGGGACUUUGCUCCUCCCUCCCCUGCAACUCCGCACACACUCUCAAAAUCCACUCCAGAGGGUUGGUGCAGAUUUUGAGAGUGUAGAGGGAGGAGAGGACAGGAAAGCUAUAUUGUAUGAGUGUUGGAUACAGCCCAUUGAAAUCAGUGCACCUAAGUUAGUGAAGUCCACUGAUUUCAGUGGGGCUGCUACAGGUAAUAAUAAUAAUAAUAAUAAUAAUAAUAAUAAUAAUAAUAAUUUAUUUAUACCCCACCCAUCUGGCUGGGUUUCCCUAGCCACUCUGGGUGGCUCCCAACAGAAUAUUAAUAAUAAUAAAAAAGUAAUAAAACAUCAAACAUUAAAAACUUCCCUAAACAGGGCUGCCUUCAGAUGUCGUCUAAAAGUCAGAUAGUUGUUUAUUUCCUUGACAUCUGAUGGGAGGGCAUUCCACAGGGCGGGCGCCACCACCGAAAAGGCGCUCCGCCUGGUUCCCUGUUUUUGACGUUAGGGAAUCAGUUUAAUUAAUCGGGUACCAAUCAGAACAAUGUGAAUGGUCAGAAAUAACGUCCACCCAUGAAAAUAUAUCCACAGAGUUUUACACCAUUGCCUGCUCUCCUUCCAAAAGUGGCGUCUGCCUGGCAGCUUACCCAUAGGUCAGUCUUGAACAACCAUGCUUCAGCUCACAAAUAGGGCUCAUCUUUUGACAGUUCCCAUUUCCGUGGUCGAGGUUGAAUUCAGUGCAAGCAUUCUGGCAUCUCCCCUCUCCUUUCCUGACUGGGGGCUGGGCGGGGCACGCAUAUGGAAGAGAGGAGUGAAAAGCCUAGUUGCACUAAUAGGUUUUGCUGCGUUUGCUCCUCCUAGCACAACUGUCUAGCUGAACCCAGCCCAAUGCGUAUGACUAACAUUGGAUAUCCCUCAAUAUGACUUGAAUGGAAGACCCCUGAAACUUUCCUCUACUGUCAAUUGCUGAAAAAGAGAAUUUUCAGCAUUCAGGUCCUGGGUGUUGAAGACUAGCUGAACAGCAAGCAAUUAUAAGGCAUCAUGUAUUUGCUUGACAUCUAUGCAUAAUGCAGUCUUCUGAACACCCCCUGAAGAUCGCUCGGUGAAUUGUCUUGCUGCUUUUCAGUCCCAAGUAGCUUACACUGAGCUUUCUCGGCAAUAUAGUGACUCCAAAGCUGGUAAAUCCAAGUUAACAUGCUUCUUCUCCGAUACUUUUGGUCCUGUCUUUGGAAGUGGAAAUUUGCCUUCAGGUGGAGGCAUGCCAAAUCUUUGCAUUAAUAAUUUUUAUUACAGUACUGUGAUUGGCUUCUUAGGAAAAACAUAUUGAAGGAUCUAUUUUAAGGCUGCCUUUCUGGCGGUGAAUAUCCUACUUCCAGCUGCUGUUUUAUAGUCUUAUCUGUCAGGAAUUAUUAGAAAAAGCACUUUUUAUUUAAUUUAAAGUUUUAUUGACUACCUUUUGGCAGGAAUGACUGAGCCUAGUUGGCAGAGCCUGUAGCAGGAUCCACAGCAAGUGAAUCCCUAUCUAUUUUCUUAGAAAAUAGUACAGUGAAGGGGGCGUGCUCAGGAGAGCCUCUUCUGCCCCUUCCUGGCCCUACAGGUGCACAACAGUCCUGUGGUGCUUUCCUUUCUAAUAGUUUCUCCCCUCCCACCUGCCCUGCUUUGGGUCACUGAGAGCCCCAGAAAAAAAUGACAUAAACUUGGGGUGUCCAAUUAACAGUUAAAUCCUGGGAUCAUGGACCAGCACACCUUGCAAUCUCUUGUAAUUUACCCAGAGUGUGAAGCCACAUCUCAAGCUCUCUGCUUCUCCCUGAGAGUAGAGCAAAUUCAUGACUUUACCGCCUCUGGUCGUAGACCUCCAAUAGCAUGAAACCCAAAGUGAUCUAGGUGUGUGGGGAUUCCCAGAUCCUGAGACUGGCAAAUGGACACAGACUUCACUAGUUCAAUUGUGAAACUUGUCCAGCCAAGAGACAUAUAUAUGUGAUGUUGUGCCCAAUACGGUCACAGACUGCCCUGGUGUCAGGAGUGUGUGCAGGAGCCAGGCCCUGUGACCAGCAGGCCUUUGCAGGACUGGGGCCUUCCUAUGUUUGUUCUGAAGAGGCAAGACACAGGUGAGGCAGAUUGGUAACUCACUGCACCUGGUGGCAAGAGCUGGGAAGGGAUAUAAGGUCAGCAUUUCCCUUUGGCUCUUUGCCACAGCAACACGUUUUCUGCCUUGCUGCGUUUGGGUUCUUGCUUCCUGAUCCUCAGACCUCGGCUUCUUGACUCCUUGGACCCCUGGCUUCUGGACUCUCAUUCCUGCUCCCACCCUGCCAUCUUGCCCCCUGUCCCAACGUCCUCAGCUGGGACUUCAAUCGCCCAUAGACUGGACCGUGACACCUGGCAUCCUUGCCCUGCUGCCAAAUUUGCACACCUAUCUAACUCACUUGCUACCUUGAUGCUUUGUCAUCGGGCCAGUGCAUCUUGUAUGUUGGGUCUCUUGCUCGUCAGACCUCUCCCCUCUUGCUCAUGGAUUGCACAUGUUCUCCUUUGAUGUAAGAUGCAAGGAGACCGAACUCAAUUCAGGAAGCACUGAUUCUCAGUUUGAAGGGUUUAAAUGUUGCUCCAGCAGCGGUUCAUCUAUUAGAGGGAUGGAUGACAUACAUCCUGGCAGUAGAGCUGAUGAAAAGAACUGAAGAGCAAUCAGAGACAUGGCCCUUCUGUAGCUGCUGGUGCAGCUUUGAAAUGUCUGAUCCUAUAUCUGUAUAUCUAUAUCUAUAUAGUGAAAGUCUUUCCUCAUGAAACCAUUGCAGAUGUUAACCAGUCCUGGCAGACAUUCAUUCAGUCUUCUCAAUUUUCAGAUUUUGAGAAAAAAGAUUGUUCAUGUGAUAUGACAAAUAACAAUGGAAAAUACACAGGUGGUGACUGAUUUACCCUACUGUAAUUCUAGGGUGGUGGGGUUUUUAUUUAGUCUAGAGCUCCCUCUCUCCCCUCCCUCUGUGUGUCUUUGCCCUCUAAUCAGAGAGACUCAAAACCCCACCCUCCACAUCAUUCUGUCCUAGGGGUCAAACUGUGCUGAGAGUGACUUCAAAUUACAGAGUCUUGUGGCAACUUAUAAAAACCGGCAAAUUCGUUAUGGCAUAAACUUUCACAAAUUGGAGUCCACUUUAGAUGCACGUUAUCUGUAUUUAAAUAAAGCACCUGCAAUGGUCACAGUAUCAGGACUUUGGACUAGCAAAAACUCGAGCCCAAACACAACUUUCAGCCAUUCAGAACUGCUUAUUUUCCUACCUGUUUGUCACAGCUCAUCUUGUCAAUCACAGCAAUUUGUUUUUAACAAGAUUUCUUCCCCCUGACUCAAUCCAUCUUCUCCUCCUUAUUACCACAUACCCUGCAGCACCGCUGAUACAGUGACAGACUUUUUAUAUUUUUGGUAUUAUUAUUGCAAAAGUCAUUAAGGGGUGUAGCUGACAAUUUGAAAUGGGUAAAUAUUCUGACAAGUCAAUUGCCCCCUGCUCAUCUGAGACUCCUAAUCUGCCAGAGGAAGAUCUGCCUCUGCAGACAACAUUAUUGCUGGCACUGAGUGCAACCAGAGAGCAUCAUCUGCAGUAGUACGCUACUGAAAUGUUACCGAAAACUCCAUGAAGGGCAAGAGAAGGGAGAGAGAAAGGAAAGACUCUCUGAAGGUAGUAAACUAUCCUACAGACAGAUUCAGCAAAAAACCUGUUGCUCUGAAGACAAUUAUGAAGCCCUCAUCAGCUUGGGUCCAGUUUACUUAAAGGAUUGCCUUACUCCAUGUGUGUCCAGUUAACCAUUUUGUUCCCAAGUCAGAAACGGUCUUGCAUUUGCAGUGAAUCAAUGCUUCAAUGUGGCAGCACACAUUGGAACUCACUGCACACUGAUAUUAGGCAGGUAUUGUUUUCAUCACUAAGAACUUUUUGCUGUUGUUUAGGCAAACCUACCCUGGCAUAUACUCUUCUUUUGAUUUUAAUAGUAUUUUCAAGCACUGGUCACUCACUGGAAUUUGUGGACUGCUUGCUGGGAGGCAUCAUGUUGUUCUAAAAGGAAUGUUUUCCCCCCAAUGGAAAUUCUUUCAUCGCAGUGUGAAAAUGAAUUAUCCCAAGUAAACUCUGGAUAAGGGGAAGGCAACAUUUUAAAUGUAUCCUUAGCUUUUUCAGCUCUGUCACUCUGUUAAUGAGAGAAAAACAAAGGCUGGCCACCUCUACUGAACUAUACAAAAGCAAUAUUUCAUUAUUAUGCAUAAGCAUGGUGCUUUUGAAUACAGACAAAACUAAGCAGAUGUUAUUUGAUGUAAUCAAAACAAAUUUGCCGUCUUAAAAGAUCAUAAACAUACACUCCAUUUUUGUAUUAUUUGAUGAUGUGAUUGUUGGGAAAGCCUGCUUUUCAGAUAAAAUUACCAUAAGUAAUUCACCUUAAAGGGUAUCUUAAUUAACACUCUGCAUUGCUUUGGGCACUAGUUCGUAUUCACCAGACUAUGUUACACUUCCAUCGAAGAAUCUGAAAGUGUUUCACAAAUGCUAAUUACACUUCACAAACACCCCUAGCAGACUGUAGCAACAACCCAUGUUUUCUUGCUUUCCCAGUGAGUACUUAGAACUCUGAAUUUUCUAAUGAGUAGAAACUGGAAUGAAAUGAUAUCUUCAAUAAAUAUUUCAAGUUCCACCCUCCUGCCAAUUUUUUUACUUUACAGUGGUACCUCAGGUUAAGAACUUAAUUUGUUCCUGAGGUCUAUUCUUAACCUGAAACUGUUCUUAACCUGAGGUACCACUUUAGCUAAUGGGGCCUCCUGCAGCUGCCACGCCGCCACCGCACGAUUUCUGUUCUCAUCCUGAAGCAAAGUUCUUAACCUGAGGUACUAUUUCUGAGUUAGCGGAGUCUGUAACCUAAAGCAUAUGUAACCUGAAGCGUAUGUAACACGAGGUACCACUGUGCAUCUUUUCUUUCCAUGUAUUUUUCAGAAGGUCUAAUUUUAAUGUCAAAUCAUGUUAAUUUUGGAGUAAAAAAAAUAAAACAAGGAGGGGUGUUUGUGUUAGGAUAUUUCCGUUCCACCUUAAAAGGGAGCAGGCUGUGAGUCACAGAGUCUGCGUAUUUCCUGUUCACAGGAUGUUUAUGUUUUCUGUUGCUUUUGUUUCUCUCUCUGUGUCGUAGACACUAAAGCAGGCAGUCAUGUUUUUCUGUGUUCUGAUCAACGCUGAGUAAACUUGUAAAUAAUGCUCUCCUGAGUGCAACUUUUGGCUGUGCAUUAUCUGCUGAUAGAGUGUGCAUGAGCUCUGGAAUGUGGCAAGAUAUUUUCUAGAAACUCAUGUCGCUGCGUGCCUACGGGAGGUCGAUGGAUCGUCUGGCAGACGGCUUGGGGGCCUUGAUGGACUUUAUCUCCCUGGCAGUAUCCCAACAACAGGUUUCGGGCCCAGAUUCACAGCACUUACAGGAGAGUAAGACUGCGACAGACUGCGUUGAGGUAUGUGGGAAAAGCGAAAGUGAGGCUUUUCUGUUUGCCGCGGCAAGAGCUUUUGAUGUCCGGCAGGCCUAAUUGGUCUGGGCGUUGAGCCCAGCAGGCCUCAAGAUUUAUGGCUGCCGAGAUAAGAUGUCUCUGAAGUGAAUAAGACUCACGGCUCAAAUAAAAAGCUGGAAUGGAGUUUUUCCAAGCUUCUGAGGCUGCUGAGUGCCCAAAGCUAAAUCGGCACAAUUAUGGGACCUGGGCUGUGUGGUGUGAGAGCUUGCUGUGUCAGUUUGGAGUGUGGCAUACUGUGUGUGAGGCCCCUCCAGUUCCUCUGACAGAUAGAUGGAAGGCCGAAAAUUCGAAGGCGAUAGACGUAAUAGUCUUGUCCGUCUCUCUGGAGGAAAUAAAAACGCUUGCUGGCAACACCACUGCACGUAAGAUGUGGAAUGCUUUGAAAGUAGCCCAUCUGCCAGUCAUCCCAGCCCAGAGUUUGACUGCAUCGGAGGUCCUGGCUGUUUCCCAGAAUGAGAGUGAAUGCAGGGAUGCCGAGGGCACCGGUUGCAAGCUGCAGGGGGAGCUGACUGCCACGGCAUCCCAGGCAGCAUUCCAGCCUCCAGGGGGAGCCAAGGAGUCGGCAGCUGAGAGCUCUGUUUCUCAUGGGAGCCAAGGUCAUCGCCUUUGCAGAGGCCGGAAGGGCAAAGGUAAACAGAGGCAGACGCCUGCAGAUGGCCAGAAGCAGAGGGAGGGUGAAGAGCCCACGCCAGAGGAAAACAAGGCUUUGUUUGCUGGCACAGCUUCACCAAAGGCUAAAGGCAAGUCUGAUGGCCAGGAGCAGGGGGGGCAAGCUCCAAACGCCCACGCCAGUGGAAAACAAGGCUUUGUUUGCUGGCACAGCUUCACCAAAGGCUAAAGGCAAGUCUGAUGCCCAGGAGCAGGGGGGCAAGCUGCAAAAGCCCACGCCAGUGGAAAACAAGGUUUUGUUUGCUGGCACAGCUUCACCAAAGGCCAAAGCCAGGUUUGUUGUUGAUUCAGGCUGUACCCGCCAUGUCUCAAAGGACCGCCACCUAUUUAUCUCCUUCACGCCUCAAGAAGGUGAGAUCCACCUGGCUGACGGAAAGACGUUACGAAUUGCAGGAGAAGGGACUGUGAAACUGGCAAGUCUGCACACUACCAUCAAAGAUGUACUAUAUGUUCCAGGUGCUGCAGACAACUUGCUCAGUGUCCCACAGCUUACUGGGCGUGGUUUUGAGAUUUCCUUCAAGAGGAGCGUCUGUGUCAUCAGAAAAGGCAAAGAGGACAUUUUGCAUGCAAAGUUUAUGGAUGGCUUGUUCUGUAUAACCUAUGACGACAAUGGUGCUGUUGUGUCUAAUGUUGAUUCUUGUUGUGUUGCACAAACUAACAAAGUUCUUCAUGCAGGAUGCAUUCACGAUGCACACAGAAGGUUUUGUCACCUCUCUUGGAAGGCACUGGCCAAGAUGCCAGAGAUGGUUGAGGGUUUGAACAUCAAACCCUGUAAGUUUCACAUGAAAUGUGUAUCUUGUGCAGAGAACAAGGUGAAGGUUGCUCCAAAAGGCAAGGAGUCUAGCAGGCAGGCUUCCAAACCCUACCAGCUAGUGCACGCAGACCUGGUUGGUCCACUUGCGCCCUCUUUGGGUGGAGCAAGGUACUUCAUGGUUCUAAUUGACUCUUUUUCCAGGUACAUUCAUGUGUUUAUGCUCGAGCAGAAAUCGCAAGCGUUUCCUAGGUUCAAGGCAUUCUGUGCUUGGUUGGAGAAUGUUCACGGUAAAUGUAUUGGCUGUCUGUUUACUGAUCGAGGCGGGGAGUUCACUUCUCAGCAGUUUGAAGCUUUCCUGACUGAGAAGGGAAUCCAGCAUGACUUGUCAACGCCUAGAUCGCCAUGGAUGAAUGGGCUUGCGGAGCGAGCAAAUCAAACGUUGCUGCAAGGAAUGAAAACAUUGUUGCAUGAUGCCAAUCUCCUGAUAACUUUUGGGGGGAGGCUCUGUCGAAUUUUGUUUACACUUUUAAUCGCAGAUUGUCAUCACCUAUUGGUUGUACUCCCUAUGAGAAGAUGUUUGGUAAGAAACCCAACAUCAAACACAUGAGAAUCUUUGGUUCUGACAUGUGGGUACACACCCCACAAAGCAACAAGCUUGGGAAGCGUGGGGCACAUGGUUUGUUCAUGGGGUACGAAAAGGUGCAUACAGGGUAUGGAUGACUGACUCUAAGUCCAUUAAGUUCACAAAGAGUGUUGAGUACAAUCCUAAGUGGGGGGAAAAUGUGGGAAUUUUCCAGAGUUACCCAGAGGAGGAUGAAGGUGAUGUGAAGAAAGCAGAUAAUGUUGAGGAAGCUGAGGAAGCUAAGGAUGAUGAUGACGAUGAUGAUCAGAGUUCGGAUUCCAGUUCAGUGGGUGGCGCUGCUGCUGGUGUCAGUGACAGUGAUGACACAGCAGACUACAAGAGCGCAAAGGCCUCAGUCAGACCAUCUGAUGCGUCUGACAAUGAACUGGAAGAACCACUGUUCACC
rnacentral:lncRNA from 1 species